UUUUAUUAUAUAAUUAAUUAAUUUAAAACUACAUACAUUUACAGGUAUAAAAAAAUUAUUUAUAUGCAACAUUUUGAUGAUUUGUCUAACAUUUUGAUGGCCACAGAAGGUCCACUAUGCAACUUUGCCUUAAAAACUAAGUCAAAUCCUCCUUCGCCUAACUUCUCUUUAAAAUCUGCAGCCAUCUUCUUGAUUUCCUUGUAUGAAUAUCUAAUAGGUGCCAAACUAUUUUGUUGAAGGUAAUUUUCAAUAUUUUCAUACAUUGAGGUAUAUCUUUUUCUCCAUUUACAUAUAAAAUAAAAAUAAUAAUUAAGAACGGCAAUCCAAACAAAACUUUGUAAGUCCAUAAUAUAGAGAUAUACCUGAGUAUAUACCUGAGAAUCUCUGCAAUAAAUUUUUACUUUAGUUACACACUACAAAAUGCAACAAGGUAUUUAUUAAAUUAAAUUUUCGUUCAUAAAAUCUAAAUGUUACAUAUCCAUUUACUUAGUAACAUUACAUAAAAAAAAGUAAAUUUAAUGUUUAGCAUAAACAAUUAUCAAUAAAUUUAAUUUUUGAUAUUACUCUAAAUAAAUUUGCCUGUAACAUUAAUGUGUCUUAAGACCUAAUCCAGUGAUGGUUGUAAAAUAUAAAAAAAAAAAACAGAUUUUUUAAAUAAUUUAUUUGUUUUUAUAAACUUUUUAAAUUUAACUGGUGUUUCUCUAACUUUUUUAAUUUAUUGAAAAUCACAAUACUUUAUCUUUAAUGUAAUUAAUAUUUAUUAUUGGUUAUUAAUCUUUAUUUAUAUCACUUUAAUUAAAAUUUUGAUUUUUUAUAUUAGAUGAAGAAAAUUGAAGAUAAUAUUUAGACAAACUCAAACUGAUUUUUAAAAAAAUGUGAAGUACAUAAGUUUUUAAUUUUUUUUAUAAAAGUUUUCAUAUUAGGCAUCUUGGCUCAAGCAACAACAAUCAUCUGUCAUCAUAUGAAAAAAUAUUACAAAAAAAAAUUAAAAAAAUAUAUGAAAAACUAGACCAAAACUCAUAUAUGUUAACAAAACUUAUAAGUAGACUAUACCUAUUUAUAAAAAAUGUUAAGAUCAGACUAGAUGGAAGUCUAUCAUCCCAAUAAAAUGAUUAUUUAUGAAUAAAUUUUAAAUUAGUGAACUUAUCAACACAAUCAUUCUCUUCGUAAAAGAUAUAUGAAUAAUCUUAAAUAAGAAGUAAAUUAAGAUGAUAAAAUGUCAAUUUAAGGAUGUGUUGAAAAAAAAAAAAGACGGUGAGAUAAUAAAGGUUGUGUUCGAUUAGUAUAAAUCACAUGAAAGAUUAUAAUGUAAUUGUAACAACAAAUUGAGUCAAUUCGAUUGAGUUGAGUUAAUCGUGGAUUAGAUAUCAGGUAUAUGAAAAAUUUGUAAAAAGAAACUAGUAUGACAACUAAUUCUGGUAGGGUGCUGAUAUAUUAAUAUUUUGAACAGUAAAAACAUACAUUUUAUAUCUUAAUAUAUUUUUAUUUUAUUUUUUAAUUUUAAUUUAAAAAUAUUAUUAUAUUAUUAUAUUAUUAUUAACCAUAUCAAAUAUGCAUAUUAACAGUAAAAACAUUACUGUUGACGGUGUUAACAAAUUUUGUUGGAUCAUCUUUAAAAUAUUUUAUGUAACUUUUUAUUAAUUAUUUGCUAAUAAAAAAAAGCAUAAAUAAAUUAAGAUGCAAAAGUUCUUACCUGUUACUUUCAUUCUUAGUCGUACCAGUCUUCCUGUAUCACCGAAAAACGAAAGAAAAUAUAAAUUUCAGAACUGUUAAUCUCAACAACUAUACCAACAAAGCUAGUAUAUGCAUGACGUUUUUUUUACAAGCAGCUUGUGUGCAUUAGUUCUAACAAAUACAUGUAAAAUAUAAAAAUUACAAAUUAAGAAUGGGAAUCCAAACAAAAUUUUGUAAGUCCAUACCAUAAAGAUAAUAAAAAUGACAAUUCCUGCAAAAAAAAUUUACUUGAGUGAUUAUACUGAUACUGUAAAAUGCAACACAGUAUUUAUUAAUGUAAAUUUUCGUUCAAGAAUGCAAACUUUACACAUCCAUUUACUUUGUAAAAUUUCAAUAAAUAAAUAAAUUUAAUGUCUAGCAUAAAAAAUUAUUAAUAGAUUUCAUUUUGUACGUUGCUACUAUGUAGCACAGACACUGACACAGACAUUGAUACGACACGGACACAAAGAUACGUAUAAUAUCUAAAAUGUAGAACACGGGGACACGAAUCUAUAGAUUAUAUAAUUAUGAAUUAUAUAAAUUAACAAUAAAGAUUUAUGUGCACAAGUAUGUUCUAAAUUAUUUUUUGGAGCAGAAAAAUGUUUUUCAUGACUGGUUCAAAAGAAUUUGUUUCUUAUUUUUAUAAUCAUAAUAAAAAUUUAUACAAUAAGUUUGAGAUUUUAAAAAAUUAAUGUAUUUUUUCUUUUUAAAAUUGUGUUAGAACCGUACUAGAACUGUUAGAAAUCCAAUAAAUACUUUUUGAAUUAGACACUUCACGGUACGUGUCAUAUGAGUGUCAAUGUCCGAUAUGAGUAUUCGACACCAACACGUCACUUAAGAGAAAUGUUUGAGUUUCACAGCGUUUGCUAAAGUAAACUGUGUGGAACAUUAAUGUGUCCUAAGACCUAAUUCAGUGAUGCUUGUAUAAUACAAACAUAUUUUUAAAAUAAAUUUCUUUAUAAACUUUUAAAUUCAUUGUGUUCCUCUAUAACCUCUUUAAUGUAUUAAAAUCACAAAUUUUUAAGUUAUUAACAUUUUAUAUCGGUUAUAAAUUAUCUCAAUAACCAGACAAAAAAGACUUUGCAUUUUGAAGUUUUGAUAAAGGUUGUGUUGGAGUAAUAUAAGUCACAGUGUACUCUCUUUUAUCCCUAUAUUCAUUGUUUAAUGAGGAAAUUGUGAUAAUAUUUACAACAAAGUUUUACUUGAGAGAGUAAACAUCACUGUAAAUAGUCAUUCUAUUACACCGUUAAUGUAAAAUGCAAUAAGCUAUAUACUAUUUGGUUAAAGAAAAAAUUAGUUUCUGAAAUAAAUAUCAUUCGAUUUGGUCUUGGAAGAUGAUAUCUAUAAGAAAAUUUUCUUUUAUGAGAACAAAUUGACUAAUGGUUGUCAAAGUUAAGAACUAAAUUUAUUAAUAAUUUUGUUUCAUGUGGAUUAAAAUCAACAAUUAUGCAAACUUUACAGGGACUACUUUUAAUUGUUUUAUAUUAUUUAAAUUGGCUAUAUUAUGCUACAUAUGUUACGAAAUCAUUUGUUAAAGUUAUACACCUAAAUAUAAUUAAUCUACAUUGAUUAUUUUACGUAGCGUAUUUUCGUUAAUAAAUUAAUAUUAACAAUCGGACCUAUGUAAUGAUGUUUUAUUAUAUAAUUAAUUAAUUUAAAACUACAUACAUUUACAGGUAUAAAAAAAUUAUGUACAACCAAGUAUGCUACUAAAUAAGGACGUCAUAUAGUAUCAAAACUAAUUCUUAUUACUAUUAUGCUAAAUCAAGUCAUUUACUAUUAUUGAAAAAAUGUGCUGACUCUUUUAUAAAUAAGCGUAACUUUAUAACGAUGAAUGGUUGUAUAAAAACUGUAAUCAAAUAUCUAAAACAAUGAGAGUUUGUAUUAAGACAAUUAUGUUUUAAAUUUAACUUAAAUUGAUUUAUUAAUAUGAGAUUUGUCUUAUUUAUAUAUUAUAAUUUAGUUAAUGAUAUGAUAUCUCCAACACGUCUCUUUCACGCUCACAACAUUGUGCAUUCGUAUAAAAGACAUCAAACACGGGAAUUGAAGGUAGUCCAAUAACGGUUAGCACGGAAAUGAGCUUUGAUACCAUAUUAUGAUAGUUUGCUCCACUUAUAUACUAUAAUUUGAUCUUAUUUCUAGUUGAUGUGAAAUCUCCAACAAUUUGGUUAAAAUUUAUUUUAUUGUCAUCUUCAAAACAAUGGUUAAAAUAUAAACUACAAGAAAAUCAUUAAAUAGAAACUAAUUUUAGAGACAAAAAAUAAUUAGUUAUUAUAUUAAAUACAAUUUUAGAGACUGGAAAAAUUAUUGUAUCUAAAGUAGUUUCUAUUAUUGAUAAAUAGUUUCUAAAUGAGUAUCUAAUUAGUUACCAAGAUUUAAGUUAGCAACUUUAGAAUCUAUAAAUAAUUGGUAGCUUAAACCUUAUUAGAUACCAAUUUAGAAACUAUUUAUCAAUAAUAACAAUUACUCACCAAUAAACUUUUUAUUCUCUAAAAUAAUAUUUAAUUUAAUUAAUAUAAUAACUAAUUAUUUUUUGUCUACAAAAUUAAUUUUUAUUUAAUAAUUUUUUAGUAAUGAGAAUCAUCGUCGAAAAUAUUAAAUAACAAUGGUUACAACAUAUAGUUAUCAUCAUAUGUCUAUUAAUAUACUCAAAUCAUACCAAUGCAAAUCGUUCCAUUUUGCAAUGUGCUUCUAAUGUUUUCUUCUUUUUCAUUGUGUUGCUUUCAUCAUCGAUACUCCUUCGUAUUUGUGCUAGUAAAGAAAAUUUACUUUUAUAUCUAGUACAUUGACCUUAUAUAUGUUAAGUUUUUCUCAUGUAGGAAUGAUAGACAUGAAUGACGCCUAGGGAACAAAAGGAAAACGAGACAUCUCAUAUUUCUCCACACAUUUUUCAGUAAACUUUAGCAACACUAGCACAAAAUGUAUAAACAACGACUAUUUAUUUAAUGCGGUUUUAGGGUUAGCGCUGUCAUUCAAAACGUGGUGUCAUUUUUUAAAUUAAUUUCAUUUACGAAUGCGGCUAUUUGUAAUAGUCGCAUUCUUAAAUCAAAGCGCAUGAUUUAAAUAGCCACAUUCGUAAAUCAAAUUGCAUGAUUUAAGAAUGCGGCUAUUACUAAUAGCCGCAUUCUUAAAUAAUUUUUUACCCUAAUUUUGAAGCGCGUCACUUACGCUUUCAUACUUUCUUCCUUUUUGGCGUUUCGCGUUUUCUCUUUGUUUCUGCUCUGGUGUUCCUCUCUUCUGCGAGUUUCAUUGAGUUCUCGUACCAAUGUAAGUUCGUUUCGAUUCGCUCUCUUUCUUCUUCACCAAUGGUUUAUAAAUUUUCUUCGUUUCAUUUAUUUGUUUGUUUUCUUGCAUUGGCGAAUGGUUCUCUGACGCUUCAUUUUCUCUUUUGUUUAUGCUCUCGUGCUUCCUCUCGUUUUCUACGAGCCUUCAUUGUCUUCUUUGUGCCAUUGUAAGUUCUUUUCGAGUUCUCUUUCUUCUUCACAAUUGAUUUAUAUAUAUUUUUUCGUUUCUCUCAUCUAUUUGUUUUCUUGUAUUGACGAAGGUCACCAACUUCAUUGCCUGCUGCUUGGAUUUUUGUUAUGUCGUAUUUGCUCCGUAGUUGCUGCUGCCACCGCUAUUGCUGCCUUAGGGUUUUAAUUUUUUUUUUUAAAUGAAAUAAGAAUGCGACUAUUUACCAUAGCCGCACUUGUAAAUCUUCGAUUUAAGAAUGCGUGUUGAUCAAGUGCGACUAUAUAACCGCCCUUGUACAUGUAAAAUAGCCGCACUAGUGCAAGUAUGAUAUGUGGAAAAUCAUCCAAAGUUGGAAAAGAGUUAGUGAAGUGUUCAUAGUUAGGAAACUAAAUGAUAGAGGACAAAUAUUUGACUUUGUGAGAUUUAAAGAGGUUGUGAAUGAAGUAGAAUUGGAAAAAUGACUAGGUGAAGUCUCGAUAGGAAAUAUGGAAAGUCACAUAGACCAAAAUUUGACCGAGAAUUAAUUUUAGGGUUUAGACCUAAACAUCAAUACUUAACAUAUUUGAGUGCUAGAGAUAGACUUGAAAUGUUAAUUGCCAUUAACAUCUGAGUGUGAUUUCUAAGUUGUUUUUAUAAGUAUGCGAGAGAUCGAUAUUUAGAAAACAUUCUUAAGAAAUUUAUAUGCGAGAGAUCGAUAUAAAUGAAUUUUCUACGGGCAUCAAUUUCAAUCAAAGAACUUAAUAUUAACAUGUUAAUCAAAAUACAUGAGAGUGAAAGAAAUGAAACUUAAUCCCUAUUUUUCCAAUUGAAGCAACUAAUUUUUUGUUUGUUUUCUUAUUGAUCAGUGCGAACAUCAUCACUUCAAACUCUUUUUAUUGUUCUGUUGUUAUAUUUAGCGAAUAUUCUACUCGAUAAUUCACUUUUCCUAGUGGGAUCGAUAUCCGUCCUUAGAGAUAAUUAUUAUUUCUGACAAACACGGGGCCCUUGCCGUAAAAAGUCAUCAGAUAUUUGUGUAGUAGUUUUGUUAAUGAGGUUCUUUGAAUUUCUAAGACCACCCUAAAUUGUUCUUUUUGGAAGCUUAUAUUAAUAUGCUUUCGAAAAAUAAUUUUAAUGAUAUUCAUUGUUUAGUGGUAAUGUAACACCAUCUAAUGCUUUUGGCCAUUUAAGAGGUAUUGUAGAUCAUCUAGGUUCUAGUGAGAUUGUCUAGUUAGUCCUGUAACAAGGCUAUCUAGCCGUUUUGCUAUAUUUUUUUUAUUUUUUUUAUAUGUUUAUCUGUUGUAAUCUUAAGAAUGUGUGCAUCUCAUACUUUGUUUUCCAAAAUAUUUUGUUUUCUUCUUUUGUUUUUUUCUCUUACUUGUGCUUUUGUUUUAUUAAUCCGUGUGACCACUAUAAGAAAAUCAUCAAAUAGAAACCAAUUUUUAGAAACCAAAAUAAUUAGUUGCAAUAGUAACUAAAUUAGAGACCAUUUUAGAAACUAAAACAAAAAUUGGUUUCUAAAUUAGUUUCUAUUAUUGUUAAAUAGUUUCUAAAUUGGUAUCUAAUUAGCAACCAAUGUUUUAUCUACCAAUUAUUUAGUUUCUAAAUUUAGUCUCUAAAACCUUGGUUGCUAAUUAGAGACCAAUUUAGAAACUAUUUAACAAUAAUAGAAAAUAAUAGAAACUAAUUUAGAAACCAAUUUUUGUUUUAGUUUCCAAAAUGGUCUCUAAUUUAGUUACUAUUGCAACUAAUUAUUUUGGUCUCUAAAAAUUGGUUUCUAUUUCAUGAUUUUCUUGUAGUGGACUAUGCGUGUGUCAUGAAUUACGAUUUUUAAUAUGCUAGCAGAGUAGGUUGAAUAAUUAUUUUCUAUUCUUUUUCUUUUUUGUUGAAUAAUUAUUUUCUCUUGUGGGCUAUUUUCUUCUUGUUGCCUUUCUUGUUGUCUUCUUCAUGUAUUUUUAACAUAAUACAGAAAACAAGGUUUUGUGAUACAACACUAAGAACUGCAGCUACCUAUUCUAUCAUUAAUUAUGGUUAUGGCUACUAAAUACUAAGAUUACUAAACUAGGAUUAAUUAUAAACUUUUUUUUUCUAUUUUCAGAAUAGGUCACUUAUAUAUGUGAUAUUUAGGUUAACAUAGUUUGUUGGACAGUAUGUUAUUGGACCUAUCCUAACAUUGUGUUACGAAUCUUUGCAAUAAUCUCGCAAGCUCAUAUUACUUGCAUCUUGGAAAAAUUUUUGGAACUGCAUUUAUCUCUUCUCAACUCAAUGGAAAAAAUCCCUUCGCAUAAAGGGCAAAUUGUGGUAAUAAAGUUGACACUUCUCCUAGUUAAGUUUGAUCUUGUUGUACUUAUCCCACCAGAACCCUCUAAGAGAAGGUAUGAGCAUUCUGGAGUGCUCUAACAUUCUAAAAAAAUUGAAUAAAGUAUUGUCAACACUCACAUAGGUAUUCUUUUAAUAUAGCAUAUGAUGACUUGAAAUAGAGAAUAACCUAAGGGAUUUUUGUUUAAGGGUCACCUCUCCUAACCAUCCUUUAAAUAAGUGAUUGAUAGAUGUUAUUUAUUGACUUAUUUUUCUAAAUGCCUUUUGUGAUGUUAUAGGUAAGUUCAGAUAUUAAGCCUUUAAGGCUCGAUCCGAGGCUUAGUGGGUUGUGUGGCGUUAUGGUAAGUUUCGAUAUUAAGCCUUUAAGGGUCGACCUAAGGCUAGUGGGAUAUAUGGCAUUAUAGGUAGAUUUUGAUAUAUAUAACGAUAAUUUGUUUUGAAUGAAGCAAAUCCUAGAAAAAGUCCUACGAUUAUAUAUUUAAUAGAUGAAUAUCAUUAAUGUCUCCUAAACAUUUAAGACAGUUUAAGUCAAGAAUAAAGUGUUAUAAAGGUACUUUUGACAUUUAAUAGUGAAUAAAAAGACUUAAAGUAGGACAAAAUACAAGGAAUUUGGAGGAUCAAUAUAGCAUAAAAAGGAUAUAUAAGGUCAGAAAAAGGCAGAAAAAAAACUGAGGGUGAAUUAUUUUCGCAAUACUGAGUCAUAUUGAAAUUUGAAUAAAAUCAACUAAUUGAUUUAUCUGUUUAACUAAUUAUAAAAAGCACAAUAAGUAUAUAUUCAAAAAUUAAACUUGUUGUUACGAGAACUCAACCAAUUGAUUUAAACGCAAAAAGUAGAAAGUUAUUGAUAAAACAGAUACUAGAGAGUAAGAGAGAGAGAGCGAUUGCACAUGAGAUUUAUAUCACUACAAAAAAAAAUAUUAUCUAUGAAGUUUUACCCACGGAUCUGAAUCCAUAGGUAAUUUCAACAUUACCUAUGGAUAUUACCAUGGAUAAUAUUACUUACGGACAUUACCCACAGAUUUUGAAUCCGUAGAUAAAUUCAGAGUUACCUACCAACUAUUAUUCAUGGAUCUUAUUACCUAUCAACUUUUAUCUACGGAUCUCUAUUACCUACCAACUAUUAUCCACAAAUCUCUAUUACCUACUAACUAUCACUCACAAAUCUCUAUUACCUACCAACUAUUAUCAUAAUAAUUAUAUAAAUAAUAUUAAAAAUAUUAUUAUAAUAUGAAUAAUUAUAAAAUCAUAAUUAAUAUUCAUAAAUAAUAAUAAUCAUAACUAAUAAGUACACAUAUUAUUAAUAUUAUAAAAUUAAUAAUAUUUAUAUAAAUAAUAUAAUUAGUAUUAUAUUAAUAAUACGAAUAAUAUUAUUAAUAAUAAUAAUAUUAGUAAUAUUAAUAGUAUUCAUAAUAUAACAAAAUUAAUAAUAUUAGUAAUAAUAACAUUAAUAAUAUAACUACUAUUAAUAAAAUUGAUAUUAUUUAUAAUAUUAAUAAUAUUUAAUAAUAUUAAUAAUAUUUAAUAAUAUUAAUAAUAUUUAAUAAUAUUUAAUAAUACUUGUAAUAUUUAAUAAUAUUAAUAAUAUUAAAUAUAUGAAUAAUUUUAUUAAUUUUUAUUUUAUUAAUUAUAUUAAUAUUGAUAAUCAUACUAAUAAGUAUAAUAAUAAUCAUAAUAUGACAACAAAAUUUGAUUGGUGUAAUGGUUAAAGUUUUUUUGGACAUUCCGAUAUAAUAAUUGGCAAACAAUAAUAUUUGUAAAUAAUAAUUGAAAAAAAAAAGAAAAAAGAUUUAAAUAAUAAUUAAAAAUUUAAAAAUAAAGAUAUUGAAUUACCUAUGGACACAUUACCUACGGACUGGAGUUGUUGGAUAAGUGCAAGAAUGAUCCAAGAAGCAAACUCGUUGUUUCUUGGACACAUUAUGGACACAUUAUGAAAAUCGUUGUUUGAAAUAACCAGAUUACAUCUUUAUAUUAGGUAAUAAUGAUUGUAAAAUUGUAAAAGCAGUUUGAUCAUUUAAUGAAAAUAUUUGUUUCAAUUAAAAAUGGAUUGGUUAAUAUAACAGAAUUUUGUUUAAAACAUUUAAUUUUUUUUGAAAUAUCUCAUUAUUUUCUUUAAGUUCAACUGAUUAAUACAUGAAUCAACUCAUUAAAAUAGAGAGAUUUAGAAAAUAAAACUUUGCAAAGAGAUUACUAUUGAAGUAAAUUGGAUCAUAAUGUAAUGCGAAGUUAUACAUAAAAAGCCAUGUUUACUGAACUUCAACCUCUAGAAAGCAAUAACACAUGGUAGAUGGUUUCUCUUUUACCGGAGCACAAACCAAUCGACUGUCGCUGGAUACAUAAAAUCAAGUAUAAUUUUGAUAGGACCAUUGAACGAUAUAAAACUCGUUUGGUCGCCAAGGGCUUCACCGAGGUUGAAGUUGUAGACUAUAAGGAAACUUUUUCUCCUACUGCCAAGCUCACCACUCUUCGUUGUUUAUUAACUGUUGCUUCCCGCAACUGGUAUACUCAUCAACUUGAUGUGCAAAAUGCAUUCCUUCAUGGGAAAUUACAAGAAGAGGUGUAUAUGACUCCACCUCCUGGUCUUCGCCGACAGGGGUAGAAUCUGGUAUGUCAGCUUCACAAAUAUAUUUAUGGUUUAAAACAAGCAUCACAAAAUUGGUUUUCAACUUUUGCAACUAUGGUUAAAUCUACUGGUUACAUAUAAUCAAAGGCAGAUUAUUCCCUUUUUACUAAAUCUCAAGGUAAAAAGUUUAUUGUUAUUCUCAUUUAUGUUGAUGACAUCUUGUUGACGGGUAAUGAUUUACAUACAUGAAAUCAAGCUGCUCAAAAAGUCAUAUGCACAAACGUUUUCUUAUUAAAGACCUCGGUGAAUUGAAAUAUUUUUUGGGGAUAUAAUUCUCUUGUAACAAAAGAUGGAUUUUUAUGUCUCAAAGAAAAUAUGCAUUGGAUAUUUUACAAGACACAGGAUUAUGAGGUGUGAAGCCGGAAAAAUUUCCAAGUAAAACUUGAAAUUGAAAAAUGAAGAUGGCAAAAUACUUGAUGAUUUGAGCAAGUAUCAGAGACCGGUUGGAAGAUUAAUAUACUUUACAAUUACUAGACCUGACAUAGUAUAUUCAAUACACACCCUUAGUUAAUUCAUGAACACACCCCGAAAGCCUCAUUGGGAAGCAACAUUGUGGGGGGAAGCAGCAUUGCGGGUUCUUAGAUAUAUUAAAGGGACAUCAGGUCAGGGUCUUUUUUUACCAUUUGAAAAUAAUUUAACUCUUAAUGCAUACUGUGAUUCAGAUUGGGGAGGAUGUCGUACUACAAGGUGUUCUAUUUCUGGUUACUGUAUUUUUCUCGGAUCACCACUUAUCUCUUGGAAAUCAAAUAAACAAACAAAUGUAUCACAUUCAUCGGCAGAAGCAAAAUACAUAUCAAAGGCAAAUACUUGUCUGGGAAUUGGCUUGGUUGAGAUAUAUACUUCGUGAUUUGACGGUUGAAUUGCACAAAUCGACUUCGUUAUUUUGUCAUAAUCAAGUAGCUUUACAUAUUGCAGCUAAUCUAGUUUCUCACGAACGUACAAAACACAUUGGGAUUGAUUUCCAGAGAAAACUUCAAGCAGGUGAGAUUCAUUCAUGUUAUGUUUCUAUAAAGAUGCAAUUGGCAAACAUUUUUUCAAAAGGGCUUGGUAGAGAGCAAUUUGAAUUUUUAUGCGGCAAGUUGAGAGUUCUUGAUUUGCACUCUCUCCAAUUUGAGAGAGAGUAUUAAGAAAUAUAUCAAUUAUCAUAUGAUAUUAUUAGUCAUUAUAUGAUUUAAUCAGUUAUAAAGAAAAAAAUAUAUCAGUUAUCAUAUGAUAUAAUUAGGUAUUAUGUGACAUACUUAGUUGAUUGAAUAAACAUAAUUAGAUUUUAUAUUACACUCUUUCAAUUCAUUCAAUUGAAAUCUAUAUGUACUGGUAUGGGCGAGACCGAGAUUCGGUCACCCUGACCGAGACUCUGGCUCGCUGAUCGAGACCGAGGAAACUUGACCGAGACCACAGAAACUUGGCCAAGACUAGGGAAAUCAUCAUGGUCAGCCUGGUCGACCGACCCAUACACCCAUUAACACUCAAACCAAGGUCAGUGAAGCUAAUCCGUCAUUAAGGAUUAGGUAAUGCAACCCUAAGUGAGAUCCACUCCACUAAUCAGACUCAAUAAAGUAAGUCCAUUAAAAUAAUAUAAAUAGCACACAUCCCAAGAACAAAGGUACGUCAUUUAUUACUGUUCACCUACCUGAAUACUGAUCACUCGCUUUACUAACUUGAGCAUCGGAGUGUCUUCGCAGGUACCACAUUCGGUGUUCGUCCGAGACCGAGUGCCGAAGGAGAAGCACGAGGACGAGAAGAACCCCAACUCAUCACCGAGUGACCUGCCUGAUCGAAGGAAGGAGAGGAAGACUUCAAUAGUUCUUUAGGUCUCAUCUCCCUAGCAGGAACACUAUCCUUCUUGGCUAGAACACGUCCAUCAUUUUUUUUUGUUAUUCUAAUUUUUUGAACGCGUUCUACUUAAAUAAAUGGAGAAGAAAAGUGUGGUGGUGGACACCAAUAUGCAGUGGUGGAAAAGGUCCAUGAACGACCACAAGAGUUUCCCCACCAGAUUAUCUCUCACUUUUGUCAAGUGAAUGGAUAAUUGCAAUAAAAUAUUUAGAUAUAUAACUUUAAAAUAUUCCAUGAAGUGUGCUCAUUAUACUAUAAUAAGACUACAAUUGACAAGUUUUAGAGUGCAGACCUUAACACUUCAAUCACUAAAAAAAAGGUUUUUAAUAUUUCAACAAACUUAUAAUGACAGCUUGAGAAUUAUAUUGGUUUAAUUUUGUUAGAAAACACACAUAAUAACAUCAAUUACAAUCAUUGUUGUUUUUUUUUACAUACAAUACAAUGACAAUUACUUUUAUAACUAUCGUAGUUUAGUUAAUAUUCGAUAAAAGUUAUUUUUAAAAUUGUCACAAUUAUCUCUUAAUAAGUAUUUUUCUAAUAUUUUUUACAAUGGUUCUAGGUAGUAGAGAUGCGAUGAAAAAUCGUAUACUAAUCACCAUCACCAUUGUUUUGUCUUAAAUAUUUUGUUUUCUUACUUUUUAUUAUGAUGGAAGUGACAUGAUUUUUACCAUAAUUAUAUUAUGUUAAUUGUACAUACUUUGCAGAUUUUAAACAUUCGUAUUAAAAAAAAUAUCAGACAUACAAUCCCAUUCAUAUUUCACAAUUCUUAUCACUUUUCACUUCAAAAACAAUUAUAAAUAAACAGUCUUAACAGUUACACGAGUUGAUUUACAAAUCAAUUACAAGAAAUCUCACCUUAUUAUAGAGACAGAUAAAUAAACGAGUUGAUUUACAAAUCAAUUAGAACAAAUCUCAGUUUAUUAUAGAGACAAAUAGAGACAAUCUAAUAACAAUGUUAGAUCAUCCAGGUAAAAAAAAUCAUGACAUAAAAACCAAUUUUAGAGACACAAAAUAAUUAGUUCUUAUAGUGACUAAAUUAGAGACCAUUUUAUAAACUAAAAAAAAAUUGAUUUCUAAAUUAAUUUCUAUUACGGUUAAAUAGUUUCUAAAUUUGUAUUUAAUUAGCUACCAAGGUUUUUGCUACCAAAUUUAGAAUCUAAAUUGGUAGUUAAAACCUUGGUAGCUAAUUAGAUACUAAUUUAGAAACUCUUUAAUAAUAAUAGAAACUAAUUUAGAAACCAAACAUUUUUUUAGUCUCUAAAAUUGUCUCUAAUUUAAUCACUAUAACAACUAAUUAUUUUUUAUUCUAAAAUUGAUUUCUAUUUCAUGAUUUUUUUUUAUAGUGUAGGUUCUCUUCUAGAUUGCUCAACUUGAUGUUACAUCCAAAUAAACCUUUCCCAACUUUGAAGAAAGGAUUAGCAAUAUUACAAAGAUUCAAACUAAAACACCUUAUAUCAUAUUGAAAAAUAGCUCAAAACAGUAAUAGCAGACAAACACAAGUAGCUAGUAUAGAUAAAAAAAAUAUUAUGUAGAACACCAUGGUACAAACGGUAAAAAAAUUCUCUUGCUAUUUGAUUGUUUUAAGGUAUUGAUUAGGGAACAAUAGCCUGACUGAAAAGGAGAAAAUAACAGCAGGUAGUUUAUAUUUCAUCCAUAACUAAGCCUUUAGCUGAACCAUAAGUACCAAUUCUUCUUCAUCAACGUUUCCAUCUCUAGACACCAUUAUGUUCUUAUAAUUUCAUAUACUCAAAAUCAAUGUUAUCCACAUAAGUUUUUAACCUGGUUUUGCUUUUUUCUUUUUUUCAAGUGUAGCAGUUGAAACUGCUCAAAGUGAACAAAAAUAUUGUUACGUUGGAGUGACUGAAUUCUCACCUAAUGUGUUCCAAGCUAAAAAAACUACCUUACAUUCUAGAAAUAAAGGAGAGUUUGAACAAAUAACUCUCAAUUCCAAAGGAUAGAAUUAGUCACUCAUGUUAAGUAUUACAAGCAUGGAGAGCAAGAAAAGAAAAUCUAAGAUGUUUCUCCUUGACGGAUGUCUCCUCUAGGGUUUCUAACACCUUCUAUUCUCCCAAUGAAUUUCCAAUUCACUCAAUGUUGUCUAGGGUUGUGCUUCAAGCCUCAUAUUUAACCUAGUUGAGUUUGGGCUAAGUGACUUCUCUCUUGGGCAUUAUUGGGCUCACCUGGGCUAGUUGCAUGAAAACAGGUCCAACGUCACUGAAGUGAUCUCGCUUGGGCGACAUUGAGCUCCCUUGGGCGAGAUCCUUUAGGAGCUUCUGGCUUGGGCGAGCUUGGGUGAGUACUAGUGCGUUCCAACUUUCCCAUUUUAUCUUUGUAUAUUCUCUUUUUGCCCUUUCAUCUCCAUUCUUCUCUAGAAUCAUAGAAUUAACACAAAUUUGAGAAUCAAUUGUUCUCAUCCAAAUUAAAAUCACAAAAUAUGUAAAAAGAUUUAAAUUAAUAAAUUAGGAGUUAUUCUAUCAAUUAAUAUCCAUAAGUGUCUGUAUUUUAAUAUGAAAUAUUACUGAAAUCUGACACUUAUUAAUAGAGAUAAAAACUUUUACAUAGUAUAUAGUGGGUGUAAAUCUCACCUUAUAAGUUAGUUUUAUAAGGUUCAAUUUGAGCUUAAAGUACACUUCUUAAUAUGGUAUCAGAGUCAUUUAAAGUCUAUCAUAGUGAAAUUUUGUUGGGCCUAUGAGGUCAUUCGCUAUUGGGUCACCCAUAAAUAUAUAGUUUAACGCACAAGUUAGGAAGUCCCGACGUGAAAGAAUGUUGGAGCUCUUACGUUGACUAGAGAUAAGGAAUUUUCAUAAUAUAUAAGUGGAUGCAAACCUCACAUUAUAAAUUGAUUUUAUAAGAUUGAGUUAAACUUAAAAUUCACUUCUUAAUAUAAAAAGUGAAAAAACUAAAGUCGUGAUCCAACACAACUUCAAAAAUCAAAAGCAAAAAUAGUAUAGAACAUAAUGAUUUCAAUAAAAAAAAUUUAAAAAUAUAAUGAGAAAAUCGUACUUUGAGUGAUGACUUACUUAUUUUUAUAAAAAAAAAGUAAAAAUUUCAAAUACUUUAAAGAAUGGUACCACUACAAGAAAAUCAUGAAACAGAAACCAAUUCUUAGAGACCAAAAUAAUUAGUUGCAAUAGUAACUAAAUUAAAGACCAUUUUAUAAACUAGAAGAAAAAUUAAAAAUUGGUUUCUAAAUUAGUUUCUAUUAUUGUUAAAUAGUUUCUAAAUUGGUAUCUAAUUAGCAACCAAGAUUUUAACUACCAAUUAUUUAGUUUCUAAAUUUGGUCUCUAAAACUUUGGUUGCUAAAUGGAUAUAAUUGAAACUAAUUUAGAAAUCAUUUUUUUUUAGUUUAUAAAAUGGUCUCUAAUUUAGUUACUAUUGCAACUAAUUAUUUUGGUCUCUAAAAAUUAGUUUCUAUUUCAUGAUUUUCUUGUAGUAUACCAUUAAUUUCAGUAAAAAAAAAUCUUGGAUUGUAUACAUUUUAUAUUUUGAAAGGUAAAUUGAUUUCUUCAUUUUAUAUUAACUAAAAAAUUUCUUAUUAACUAAAAAAAUAUAUAUUUAUAUUACAAAUAAGUAAGAUAACAGUUAUAUCAUUGUGAAUGUAAAAAUAAUUAAAACUUAUGGAAUUGAAAGAUAUAAACAUAUUUUAAUACCAUUAAAACAUAAUUUUUUUAAUAGAGAUUCAAUUUGAAAAUACCUAAAUUAAUGAGGAGUUUAAAACUUAACUAAAUCUAGAUUUUAAUUUCACAAGUAUUUAUUUAUAAUUUUAAAAUAUAUACACGUAAGUUUAAUUUUCAUUUAUUUUAUAAAUAAUUAUUUUCCUGAUAAAUGAUUUUUUUAUCAUUAAUUUAAUUGAUAUAAAUGUGUGGAUACAUUUAACGUACCAUUAUAAACUCUUCAAUAUUAAAACAAAGUUGUUGUGAAAAAAAAAUUUAGAGUAUCUAUUUUCUUGAAAAAAUCAUUUAAUGUAAAAUAUUUGGAUUAAAACUUACUAAAUAUUACUCAUUUGGUCAUUGGAAAAGUUAUGCAAUCCAACACAUGGAAAAUAGAAAAGACAAGUAUUUUCUACAACAAAAUUGUAGAAUGUCACCAUGCAUAUUCAGGUAGAAUGAUAGUUCAUGAUUUCGCAUUUGCAAACUUUGGAACAAAAUAAUAAAUUUAGUAACUCAUUUGUUCUAAUUGUUGGAGAUCUCACAUCGACUAGAGAUAAGGACAUUUCAUAAUAUAUAAAUGGGUGCAAACCUCAUCUCAUUGAGCCGGUUUUAUGGGGUUGAGUUAGGCUUAAAGUCCACUUUCGUAAUAUGGUAUCAGAGCUGGCUGCAUAACGUUCAUCUGAUAAAAAUAAAUCAAUAAUUAUUAUUCAAUAUAUGAAUUAUUUCUACAUAUAUUGUUAUUUGACUGCGUCAAAUAUAUACUUGCAGAUCAAGUGUUUAUAUAAGACAAACAUGUGAAACUCAUUAGAAUUUGUGGUUCAAUAAAACUUAUUAAUACGGAUAUUAAUGGAAAAAUGUUCUUUUCGCCACAGGUCUACAUGUGGUGGAACUUUGACUGAGUAAUAAUACAGAGAGGUUAGGAAAAAGAAGAAAAUAAAAGAAAUUAUAAGUUAAUGAUGAUGAGGAAGAAGCUUCGCAACAUGGGUUGUCGUUGUCUGAUGAAAAGAACAUAUGAAUUGAUGUCGAAUUAGAUAUAUGAUUUAUUCAAAUUCAUUUAGGUCUACCAAGUCAAGGUUGAGUGUGGGUUAUGUUUUCUACACACAGUAAUGAGUGAACUUCUUCCAAAUUUAAACCUGCAUUAAGCUUCCUGUCACAAUCUUAGGUCCACACUCUCCUUUAUCACACUAAUCAAAAAAAUCAAAACAUCUUUCAGACUUUUAAUAAUACUUUUACGGUAUAUUUGUUUUCAGGCAAAAAUAAAACUAGAAAUCACAAAAAUUAAUGUAUUUUUAUUUCUUCAAACUUUCUUAAUUUUGUUUAAAGGGAUUUGCUAUAUACUGAUUAUAUAUAAAAAUUAUAUUUUAAUAUAUAUAUAUAUAUAAUACUUAAUAUAUAUUUUUAUAUUAUAAUAAAUAAAAAAUAAAAAAUAAUUUUAAUUAUUAAGAUGUAUCAUUAUUAUUAUUUUUUAUUUUUUAAUCUAUUUUAAUUCUAAUUUAUCUUUCUAAAUUUUUUAUAUUAAAUUUUUUAUAAUCAUUUUAAAUUUAUUAUAUCUAUCAAGUCAUUCACAAAUUUUUCUUUCACUUUUUAUUCUCUUUCCCUCAAUCCAAACUAUCUCACUUUUCACUUUUUUUUUUUCACUCCUUCAAAUUCAUUCUUUGAUGAAAACAAAGCAUUAGUGUACAUGUACGUUCAACUGAUAAAAAAAAAAUCAAUGAUUAUUAAUUUCAAUAGGAAGGUUAGAAGUUGAAAUAUGUCUAUUACAUUUUUCAUAUGAAUGUCCUUUUCUUCAAUCAUCUCCCAAAUGAUAACAGUUUUUAAUCACGAACCUUUGUCUAACGACGUCUUCGACGGUAUAUUUGAGAAUAAGAGAAUCCCAAAUAUAUUUUGCUUCCUUGUAAAAGCAAUAAACAUCGAACAUAUUGUUAGAAAACACCGAGAAAGGUGUGACAACAUACCUUAUUUGCAUGAGCCCAAUCGUCAAUAUUUUUGAAAGUGUGCUUGAGUUGGGUUUAGAAGUUGUAAGUGCAAAAACGACUCUAUACAUGUCCAACAGGGUAGACAGAAAUUCUUGCCAGGGUAGAAACAGUUUUGCAAAGAUGCUCUGUGUUGCGGAAACAUUGUUUGACGUCUCCAGUGUAGACUUGUUGUUUUUGUUCGUAUUCUCAACCAUUAAUUCCUUACAAAUUGUAGUAAAUAAGGUUGAAAAAACACAAACAAAGUUGACUUCUUGAGGCGUGAUGAUCAUUGUUUGUAAGUACUUAUCCACUGUGUAUUACGCAAGUCCUCCAAGAUACAACAGGAACUUCUCGGAUAUUACCGAUAAUAUCAAAACUAACAAACAACUCUUAAAAGAGUAAGAACCCAAGAAAAUAUUAGAAAGGAAAAGAGAAAAAGUGGAAAAAGUCGUGAGCGAUGAUUUUGGAAAGGUGUAUGAAACCCCUGUUUAUAGAGUGAAAAAAGGCAACAACCCAAAAUUGCCACAACUCCAAAACCAACUUUGACGACAUUGUUUUCCAUCCCAACAGCACAACGUCCUGAGGAGAAAGAAGGAGAUAUGGAAGUUCAAGUCUUGCGCGUGAAAAAUCAACUCUGGCAUACAUUCUGUGUACUAAUUAUCUUUUUUUUUUUUUAUCAGCAAAGAAUAUAAUAUAAUAAAAAGGGGUACUUCAGGGGUACCCCAACCCAUAUACAAAAAAACCAAGUAGCACAAAGCAAAGGAAAAUAUUCAUUUUAAUGGAACAAACAGAACAACCAUAUCCUAGCCUAACAAGACUUUUCCAUUUGCCCCACACGACCUCUCAUCCACCUAUUUAACCACAUCUUCAAAGAAAACAGAUCUUGACCACCUGGCCUCUUAUGUUACGUGUCUUCAUAUGCUACCCCCAACACAACUUUCUUUUAAGCCCCUUGAUGUGUACAAAUCAGAAACACCAACAAACUGAUAUACCUCCACACGACUUCUAGCACUGACUACGACACCAAAUUUUCGUGGAAGCCACCUCGCACACCCAAACAUCCUUGGAGCAGCACCUUGAACCAGCUCCUUCUCUGAACCAGGAGCACCUUAUUUCCUAACCUCACAUCCAUUGAAAAAUUGUAGGAAAAAAAACCUCCAACAAGGAUUAUAUUUUCCUUUACUGAAUCAACACAAGAACAACACAUAUUUCACCCUGCAGCACCCUACUUCUCCUUAAACCUGAGCCCUGUAACUUUUUACAACAUUUCCACCACACCUACCAACCAUCCAGCUAACAUAGAUACCUUAUGCUUGACGUGGAGAUACAAGAACAUCUCAUCGACCACCUUCAUAUCAGCAACCCUGCAGACACAUGUUUGGAUUAAGGAUCCGAUCCGAAUAGGAAAAACUAUUGUUAUAAUAACACUACAAGAGAAUCAUUAAAUAAAAACUAAUUUUAGAGACAAAAAAUAAUUAAUUGCUAUAUUGACUAAACUAGAAACCAUUUCAGAGACUAAAAAAAUUAUUGGUUUCUAAAUUAAUAUUGGUAUCUAAUUAGCUACCAAUUGUCUUGUUUAUAAAUUUGGUAGCAAAAAUCUUGGUAGCUAAUUAGAUACCAAUUUAGAAAUUAUUUAACAAUAAUAGAUUAAUUUAGAAAUCAAAAUGUUUUUUAGUCCCUAAAAUGAUAUCUAAUUUAGUUAAUAUAGUAAUUAAUUAUUUUUUGUUUUAAAAAUUAAUUUUUAUUUAAUGUAUAAAAUUCUCAUCUAUCUGUUUGUGGUGUGGGACGGAUGGUGGUGAGGAUGGGUUUUAUUUGGACGAUUAUUAUGAUAGGAUCUUAUGCUUAUUCAUGAUUACUUGAGUUAUGUAUAUACAUAAUUUAUGUUUUUUUAAUAGGGUUGAAAUAUUUUUCAAAUAUCUUAAAUAUAUAAUAUAUUUUUUUUUUAUAAAAAAAAUCUACCUAUUGUCAUUUGACUGCGUCAAUUAAGUACUUCCAUAUCAAGUGUUUAUAUAAGACAAACCUGUGAAACUCAUUAGAAUUUGUGGCUCAAUAAAGCUUAUCAAUACGGAUAUUAAUGAAAAAAUAUUCUUUUAGCCACAAGUCUACUUGUGUUGGAACUUUUAGCCCUUGAAUAAUUUGCAAAUAUUUAAAGUAGAAAAAAAAAUCAAAUGCAUUAUACAAAUAUUGUUUUUCAAUCAGGAUAUAAAAAUUUAUUUCGAUCAUUUUUCCAUGAUUUACUAUAAUAUAUAUUUAUGUUUUGUCUCUAUUUAAAAGUAAGUCCUGAACUAUUUCUUUAAUUGGGUUCUCAAAGUAAUUCCUUAAAAUUGUUUUUGAACAGCAUAUUAAUAAAACCUUCCAAAAGAGAACGAUUUAGGAUGGCUUUAGAAACUCAAAGAACUCCAUUAAAAAAUUUACAUUAUUAAAUACCUAAAUAAGAAUUCACGGUACGUAUCAUACAUAAGUCUUCAAACAAUCUUCUAAAAGGGAAAAAUGUGGUCCUUCAUAGUUAUAUAUACAGUUCAGUCUCUCUUGUUAUCAGUAUCUAACUUUGAUUUGUUUGCACUUGAAUUCAAUGAGAAACAGAGAUGAUGUGGAAAGAGAGAGCAUUCAUGGUGGUACUGCUACUUCUAGUCCACAAAAUUCAUGGUGGCUGCCCCUCCUCUUCCUGUGGUCAAAUCACCAACAUCAAUUACCCUUUUCGAUUCAAAGGCGACCCAGAAGAGUGUGGUGAGGAAGGUUAUGAGCUUGGCUGUGAGAAUAAUGUUACGGUGUUGUAUCUGUACUCUGCACAAUAUCAUGUGCAGUCAAUAAACUACAAGAACUACACAGUGAGAGUGGUUGAUCCUGCUCUUCAACACCAUAAUCUCUCCUCCCUUCCUCUCCGUUUCCUCUCUCGUUCCAAUUUCUCUGACACUUACACUUACACUUCCUUUUACGACUCGGAUCCAUACCAAGCCGGUCUAAGAUCCUAUGAAAAUUGGGAAUUGAGUUUCUCGCAUAUAGUGUUUGUGAAUUGUAACCAUUCGGUGGGAGAGAAAGGGAAGUAUGUGGAGAGUGGAGAGUGGGUGAAGUGGGAGGGGAAGGGGUAUGCAUAUGCAAUUGGUGGAGACCUAAAAGCAGAGGACUUAGAAGUUGGGUGUGAGGUAAAGCUUGUUGCUCCCACUUCUCUCUCCACUUUCGAUUACCAUUCCUACUCUUCCAUUCACACCGCACUCGCCUAUGGAUUCCAGAUUUCAUGGAUAAAACUCACCUGUCAGAAUCUUUGUCCAGAUGAUGAUAGCUAUUGCUAUUUCGACUCUUCUAACCAGAAGCUUCAAUGCCGUGAGUCUAAACCAAAAUAUAUUAACCAAUUUUUUAGAUUUUUUCAUAACAGUUUCAAACAUAUAUACUGUAUAUUUCACUUUACAUAUAUUAUUAUUCACAAAGCAUCAUUGUAAUAAUUCAACCAACAUUUAGAAGAAAAAUAAUAAUUUGUUAUCAUCCUUUACAAUUCUCCCACUCAUAGUCACAUAAGCACGUUAUUAUGCUCCUUACUCAUGUAGUUUAAAUCUUCUAAAUAUACAUUUAAAUUAACUGAAAAGCUGGUAAACAAUUAGUAAACCAAUUUUUUUAUCUUUUAUAUUUUACAUGUAUUUAUAAGAACGUAUGCAUUAAAUUAAACAUUUAUUUUCUUUAAAAUAAAUAACUGUUAAACUUAUUGACCGCUAUAACCUUUAUCAAAAUAUGAAAAUAGCCUUUUUUGAAUAACUGGUGAGAUCACACUAUUCUAAACUUCAUAUGUUCCUUCAUUCCAGGCCGAUCUGGUCUAACACCGCUGGGAGUGCUAAUCCUGUAUCUAGCAGGUAAGACUUUAUAUUAAUUUCUAAAUUCUUUAAUUACACAAAAAAACAGACUUCUAUUAGUAGUUCUCAAAUUUCCAUUAACAGAAAUGUUGUUAAAAAAUAGAAGAUUUGGCUUACAAUCAUCUGUGAUUUUUUUUUAAAUUUUAUUUUGCUUUUAAAAACUUUCGACUACUUUCGACAGCAAUUUAUGAUUAAAUCGUAGUAUUUUUAAAGUAUUAUUUUAGUUUUAAAUUUUUCAACUCUUUCAAUGACUGGUUAUAAUAUGAACUUGGUGAAAGUAAUUAAUAUAUGAUAAUGAUUAUACUAAAAAUUAUUGUAACAUCCAACUAUUAUUCUCUAUUCACUACAAGAAAAUCAUGCAAUAGAAACGAAUUUUUAGAGACCAAAAUAAUUAGUUGCAAUAGUAACUAAAUUAGAGACCAUUUUAGAAACUAAAACAAAAAUUGGUUUGUAAAUUAGUUUCUAUUAUUGUUAAAUAGUUUCUAAAUUGGUAUCUAAUUAGCAACCAAUGUUUUAGAGACCAAAUUUAGAAACUAAAUAAUUCGUAGUUAAAACCUAGUUGCUAAUUAGAUAUCAAUUUAGAAACUAUUUAACAAUAAUAGAAACUAAUUUAGAAACCAAUUUUUGUUUUGGUUUCUAAAAUGGUCUCUAAUUUAGUUACUAUUGCAACUAAUUAUUUUGGUCUCUAAAAAAUGGUUUCUAUUUCAUGAUUUUCUUGUAGUGAUUACAAUAUAAUUCUACACACAAAGUCUUGUAUAAAUGGAGUGUUUUUUAAAAUAUUUCUUAUAUAAUUAAAAUUUAUAAAAGCACAAAUAUUUACAAUUUAUAUUUCAAAACAAACCUGUCAUGAUGGAGGUAAAAACUUCUCAAGUUAAAACAAGAUAAUAAUAAUUUUUUCUUCAAGUUCAUCUAACUUUUGAGGGUCAAUAACUUUACUACAUAUCGAAUUGAAAAAUGAACAUAGUCGAGUUAUUGUAUGUCUAACUUUUUUUGGUAAGAUUUCACGAAUAGUCACUAGUAGUAAUUGUUGCAUUAGAACGUGACAAUCAUGAAACUUUAAGUCAUUUAGUUUCAAAUCAUGCAUAGAUACAAGAGUCUUAACAUUUGAAAACUAGCCUUGUGGUACCUUAACACCUUUAAGAAAUUCACAUAAACUUAUUUUCUCCUUCUUCUACAAAGUGUAACACGCUGCAGGAAAAUAUGUAUGUUUGCCAACUUCUUACGGUGCCAAUUCCUCUCGUAUAUUCAUCUCAAUCAAAUUCGGACAUGCAUUCACAUCAUCCUUCAAUUUACCUUUAAUGUUCAAAAGUAUUUUGAUUAAGUUGUUACACACAUUCUUUUCUAUACAUGCAUUACAUCUAUACAAUGUUUCACAUCUAACUUACUCCAAUACAUAAGAUAAAAAAAGAUUGACCUCUUCUGAUGUGAGUUGAUUUUAGAUUUCCAUUUUAGAGGUGACACUUUACUUAGGAUUGAGAUUUUUAACAAUUAGAUGGUGAGACAUAGGGAAGAUUCCCACUGGACACGAACUUAACCAAGUGGUUAAGUAAGUGUGAAGGUUCACUUCCAAAGGCAAAAGGAAAAACACAUUAUAUGGUGAUGGUGAUGUAUGGUGUGGAAUUGAAAGAGCAUGGAAGGAAACAUAAUAAGAUGACAAAGACCGAAUGAAAAAUGGAGGAAAAUAAAAACAUAAACACAAAGAGAAAAUGGUGGAAUGGAAGAUGAAAAGAAAAGAUGAAGGGAAGCUUAUGGAUGAUGGGAGAGAGGUGGACACGCCACUUGGAGGUUGGUUUCCUCCAAGAUAAGUGUAGAGGGUCGCCACUUGAGAGCUCUCAAAUCACUCAAGAUAAGACCUAAUGCUAAGAGGACACAAGCCUCACAAACACCUCACACAAGUUGUGCAGAGUAACUUUACUAUUCAAAUUCAACAUGAAAAUACAUGAAGUAUGACACCCUAUUUAUAGGAAUGGGUGCCUUGGUGGGCAAGAAGAGCAAGGGUAGGGUGGUAAAUGUGUAAGGGGCUACCUUUAGGGUUUUACUAAGUAAAAAUUGCACCCUAGGCUUGUUCUUCUAUAAACUAGGUCAAAUUUCCUUCCUAAAGGGCUAGAAACAAGAUAAAAUGAUAACUACACCCCCUAUUAUGCUAAAGGCACCUUAUUCUAGCUUAUCUUGCUAUUUGGAUCUCCAAUAUGAGCCCAAAUUAUUUACAACUUGUUUUAUUCUUAAGAAGACUAUAAGGAAGAAUAAUUGAUGUUCUGGUCUUUGCCCAUUUCUCCUUCUGGUAAGGUCUGCUAGAUCCUUGGUGGAUUCUUUACUUGAAAAUUGAGAUGACUUCUCAUAGUGUGGAUGGUAAUGUGAGUCCUUGGUCAUCUCUUUGUGGUCUUGGAUUGUAUCAUGCCCCCCAAGUUUGAGAGAAUUCAACCUCCAAUUUAGAAAUCCUGCAUAUAACAUAGUUAGUUUGUUCACAUAUAAAAGAGUGCAGGGUGUGGGAAGUGAAACAAACUUAUGUACUUUAAGCUUGAGGAAUUUAAAAGGGGAAGCUCUAUAUACAAGCCAUGUUGGGAAAUAAUAUUUGAGGAUGAAAGUACUUGGUGAAAAAAAUCCUCUUAAAAGGUGAGAACCCGUAGGAGGUGUUUGAUUUUCAUCCCAAAGCUUCUUUGUCCAAGAUGUUAAGUAUUUAGAUGUAUUUGUUAAUGAAAAAGAUAAGGAAGAAGGACACCUUCGAGGUGUAGUUUGUAGCAUGGCACGAGUCAACAUGAUUGAUUUAGUUGUGUAAGAUGAUAGUUUGUGACCCGAUUAUCUUUUCUUUCUCUCUCUUUUUUCAUUUUCUCUUUUGUUUUUCAUUUUUAGUUGGUCCUCAUGAACUUCUUUGGGAGAGAGGGGUUUUAAGAUAACCUUGUGCACUUGGAAGUUGAAAGACAUUUUGUUUGUUUGGCCAUCAUGUAGAACUUGUCUAUCAUAUUUCCAAGGCCUCCCCAAAAGAACAUGUGUUGUUUCCAUAGGCACAACAUUAGAUAAAACCUCAUCUUUAUACUUUCCUAUAGCAAAAGUUAUGAGGACUUGUUUAGUAACCAUGAUUUCACCCUCUUUAUUAAGCCAUUGGAGCUUGUAGGGCUUUGUAUGAGAGAUGGUGGGUAGUCCAAGCUUGUCCACCACUCUUGUACUUGCCACAUUAGUACAACCACACCCAUCUAUUAUUAUGAAACAUAACUUGUUGUUGAUAAGGCCGCGUGUGUGGAAAAUAUUUUCUCUUUGGGUGUCAUCCAAAGGUUUUGGAAUUGUUCUCAACAUGCGCCUUAUCACCAAUAAGUCACCUUCACACGGUAUUACAUUUUCGUAAUUUUGAAGGCCACUUAAUGGAUUGGGACAAGUGUCAUUCUCAUAGUACCCAUUGAAAGCUUUUUUCAAUCUACGAUACAAGUAAUCUUUUGUUAGAAAUCUAAGACGUCGAAGAAGUAAACUUUAAGCCAAACUCAACCUUAUAUAGAUGACUCGUAGUAAGGUUUACACACUUAUAUACUAUAAAAUGUCCUUAUAUCUAGUCAUCGAUGUAGGAUAUCCAACAUAACCUCUUACUUCGAGACUAUCAACUCGUGCAUGUGACUAUAUAUUUAUGGGUGAUCUGAUUAGUCCAACAAACACUUAUUAUGAUACACUCUAAUUGACUAUGAUACUAUAUUAAGAAGUAAACUUUAAGUCUAACUCAAUCUUAUAAAACAGUAAGGUGAUGCUUGCACCCACUUAUAUAUUACAAAAUAUUUUUAUCUAUAGUUGACGUUGGAUCUCCAACAUACUUCCCAUUUUUUAAAAUUAAAUUUUAAUUUAUCAAAAAAAUUCUCAUAUUUUCUUCAUCUAAUUUUAAAAAAUCAAAAUUUUGAUCCUCAAAGUGAUAUAAAUAAAGGUUUUUAACCCAUAUUAAAUGUUAAUUACCUUAAAGAUUAAAAAAAUUGUGAUUUUCAAUAGGUUAAAAGGGGUUAGAGGAACACAAAUUGAAUUUAAAAAAUUUAUAGAAACUAUUUAAAAAAAUACGUAUGUAUUUUUUACAACCAUCACUCCAUUAGGUGUUAGGACACAUUAGUGUUACAUAAAAAUAUAUUUAUAGAUAGCAACGUGAAAAAAAAAAUUGUUAAUAUUUCUUUAUGCUAGACAUUAAAUUUACACUCUUUUUUUUCUAAUGUUACUAAGUAAAUGGAUGUGCAAACUUUGGAUUUUAUGAACGAUAAUUACUUUACAAAAUACUUUAGUGCAUUACAUUACUAGCGUAAUCACUCAAGUAAAAAUUUAUUGCAGGUAUUCUCAUAGGAAGGGCUUACAAAGUUGUGUUUGGAUUGCCAUUCAUAAUUGUUAUUUUUACAUAUAAAUGGAGAAAAAGACAUAUGUCAAUGUAUGGAAAUAUUGAAAAUUACCUUGAACAAAAUAGUUUGACACCAAUUAGAUACUCAUACAAGGAAAUCAAGAAGAUGGCUGUAGGUUUCAAAGAGAAGUUAGGUGAAGGAGGAUUUGGCUCUGUCUUUAAGGCAAAGUUGUGCAGUGGGCCUUUUGUGGCCAUCAAAAUGUUAGGCAAAUCGAAAGCAAAUGGACAAGAUUUUAUCAAUGAAGUUGCGACCAUUGGAAGAAUACAUCAUCAAAAUGUGGUACAGUUAAUUGGAUUUUGUGUUAGUGGCUCAAAGCGUGCUCUUGUUUAUGAAUUUAUGUCCAAUGGAUCUCUUGAUAAAUUUAUUUUCUCAAAAGAGAGAAAUAUACAUUUAAGCUAUGAAAAGAUAUAUAAUAUGUCAAUUGGAGUGGCUCGUGGGAUUACUUAUCUCCACCAUGGGUGUGAGAUGCAGAUUUUGCAUUUUGACAUCAAACCUCAUAACAUCUUACUAGAUGAAAACUUCAUCCCUAAGGUUUCUGACUUUGGAUUGGCAAAGUUAUAUCCAAUAGAUAAUAGUAUCGUCACAAUGAUUGCAGCAAGAGGAACCAUUGGAUAUAUGGCUCCAGAACUAUUUUACAAAAAUAUUGGAGGAAUAUCCCAUAAAGCUGAUGUUUAUAGCUUUGGAAUGCUUUUGAUGGAAAUGGCGAGCAAGAGGAAGAAUCUAAAUCCCCAUGUAGACCACUCAAGUCAACUUUACUUUCCACUCUGGAUCUAUGAUCAUAUCGAAGAAGAGGAAGAUAUAGAUAUGGAAGAUUUGACUGAAGAGAAAAAGAUAAUAGCAAAGAAAAUGAUUAUAGUGUCUCUUUGGUGCAUACAAUUAAAACCAAUUGAUCGACCCUCAAUGAAUAGAGUAGUGGAAAUGCUUGAAGGGGACAUUGAAGACUUGGAAAUACCUCCAAAGCCUACUUUAUUUCCAAAUGAAAUGAGUAGAGAUGGUGAAACAAUAAACUCGACAUCGAAUGAAUUGAACUCGUUCUCUUAUACAUGCAAUUGAUCCUUUAGUGAAGCAUACUAUUUAAGGAUGUAUAAUAAAAUUUUGUUUUACAAUAAUAUAUAGUCCCACGCACGAGCUUCUAUCUAUCACUCUCAGCGUGAGGGGGGUGUGUUGGAGAUCUCACAUCGACUAGAGAUAAGGACAUUUCAUAAUAUAUAAAUGGGUGCAAACCUCACCCCAUUGAGCCUGUUUUAUGGGGUUGAGUUAGGCUUAAAGUCCACUUCGUAAUAUGGUAUCAGAGCCAUUUCGAGCCUAUCCUAGCGAGUAUUUGUUGGGCUUAUCAGGCCACCCGCUAUCGGGCCGCUAUCGGACCACCCAUAAUAUAUAGUCCCACGCACGAGCUUCUAUCUAUCACUCUCAGCGUGAGGGGGGUGUGUUGGAGAUCUCACAUCGACUAGAGAUAAGGACAUUUCAUAAUAUAUAAAUGGGUGCAAACCUCACCCCAUUGAGCCGGUUUUAUGAGGUUGAGUUAGGCUUAAAGUCCACUUCGUAAUAUAUAUAUUGAAAUUAAUAAAAUAUUGUUGUAUCCAUGAGCCUAUAUCAUCUUUGCUUAAGACUCCGGUUGUGUACUCAUAGGUUAAGAUUUGAAUUCAACCACAGAUUUAUGAAAAAAAAGGAAAAGUACAUAAAGUUCAAUAUAAUUUAUAUUAUUAUUAUUAAUAAUAUAAUUUAUAUUGUUAUUAUUAUUAAUAAUAUAAUUUAUAUUAUUAUUAUUAUUAAUAAUAUAAUUUAUAUUAUUAUUAUUAAUAUAAUUUAUAUUAUUAUUAUUAAUAAUAUAAUUUAUAUUAUUAUUAUUAAUAUAAUUUAUAUUAUUAUUAUUUUUAAUAUAAUUAUUAUUAUUAAUAAUAAGUAUAAUAAAAAUCAUAAUAUGAUAAAUAAUAAUCCGAAAUAAUUAAAAAACAUAAAAAUUUUAAAAAAAUUAAUUUUUUUUAUUGCAUUACGAUUUUGGCAGUAUGGAAUUCUAAGUUUUCUUGUAAUAAGUCUUACAUUAUAAAUUGAUUUUAUAAGAUUGAGUUAUACUUAAAAUUCACUUUUUAAUAUAAAAACUCAAAAAAACUAAAGUGAACCAACACAACUUCAAAAACCAAAAGCAAAAAUCGUAUUAACAUAAUGAUUUCAAUAAAAAAAAUUUAAAACAUAUAAUGAGAAAAUCGUACUUUGAGGGAUGACUUACUUAUUUUUAUAAAAAAAGUAAAAAAUUCAAAUACUUUAAACAAUGGUACCAUUUCAGUAAAAAAAAUCUUGGAUUGUAUACAUCUGAUAAUUUUUUUAUAUUUUGAAAGAUAAAUUAUUUCUUCAUUUUAUAUUAACUACAAAAUUUCUUAUUAACUAAAAUAUUUAUAUUUAUAUUACAAAUAAGUAGGAUAACAGUUAUAUCAAUGUGAAUGUAAAAAUAAUUAAAACCUAUGGAAUUGAAAGAUAUAAACAUUUUUUAAUACCAUUAAAACAUAAAUUUUGACUAGAGAUUCAAUUUGAAAAUACCUAAAUUAAUGAGGAGUUUAAAACUUAAUUAAAUCUAGAUUUUAAUUUCACAAGUAUUUUUUUAUAAAUUUAAAAUAUAUACAUGUAAGUUUAAUUUUCAUUUAUUUUAUAAAUAAUUAUUUUCUUGAUAAAUGACUUUUUAUCAUUAAUUUAUGUUCCUACUAGGGAGAUGGGACCUAGAGAACUAUUGAAGUCUUCUUCUCCUUCCUUCGGUCGGGCAGAUAACUGGAUGAUGAGCUGGGAUUCUUCUCGUCCUCCUGCUUCUCCUUCGACACUUGGUCUCGGGUGAACACCGGAUGGUGGGGGUACCUGCGAAGACACUCCGACGCUCAAGUCAGUAAAGCGGGUGGUCAGCUCUCAGGUAGGUGAACAAUGAUAAAUGACGUACCUUAUUUCUUGGGAUGCAUGCUAUUUAUAUUAUUCUAAUGGACCUACAUUGUUGGGCCCGUUUAUCGAGGUGGAUACCGCUUAGGGUUGCAUUACCUAAUUCUUAAUGAUGGAUUAACUUUGCUGACCUUGGUUUGAGCGUUAAUGGUAAUCAGGAUUGGCCGUCGGCCUCAUCCUCAGGUAUGAGUCGGCCAUCGGCCAGAUUUCCCCGGUCUUGGUCGUCUCGAUCAAGUCUUCUAAGGUCUCGGCCAGGUCUCCCAGGGCCUCGGCCAGGUGGGUCGUCGGCCAAGUCUCUCAGGCCUCGGCCAGGGUCUCGAUCAAGUUGACCCGAUCUCGGGCAAUGAGACCAAGGGUCGGCCUCGCCCAUUCCGGUACAAUUUAAUUGAUAUAAAUGUGUGGAUACAUUUAACGUACCAUUAUAAACUCUUCAAUAUAAAAACAAAGUUGUUGUGACAAAAAGAAUUUAGAGUAUCUAUUUUCUUGAAAAAAUCAUUUAAUGUUUAUUUGGAUUAAAACUUACUAAAUAUUACUCUUUUGGUCAUGGAAAAGUUAUGCAAUCCAACACAUGAAAAAUAGAAAAGACAAGUAUUGUCUACACAAAAAAUGUAGAAUGUCACCAUGCAUAUUCAGGUAGAAUGAGUUCAUGAUUCUGCAUUUGCAAACUUUGGAACAAAAUAAUAAAUUUAGUAACCCAUUUGUUUUAACUUUAUAAAUGUAAAAUAUUAUAGAUGUACUUCUACUUAAAAUGACAAACAAGUUGAAUGUAAAACAAAAUUUUAUUAUACAUCACUCACUAGAAAGUAGGCUUCCGUUAAGGAUCAAUUGUGUAGGAACUAAUUGAAAGAAAUAAGAGAAGACAAAAGGUUGUAGAAACUAAUUGAACGUAAUUGCACAAAAUUGCAAAACUCAUCUUCUUCAUUUUGAUUUACUCAAUCAUAUAUAUAAUAAAAUUACAAUUACUGGAAGCUAUAAAAUAGGAAUACUAACAUACUUGUAUACUGACCAUUAAUGCAAUAUAAAGGUAAAAUAGUUUAAGGGUAAUAAAAUCAGAAUUAAUAAUAAUAAAAUCAAAAUUAAUAAUCAACAUCCUCCCUUAAUUCUGAUUUGGAACAACCUUCAUGCCCAACAUAUCUCUUAACUUGAUGAAAGCAUCAAUCUUGAAUGGAUUAGUGAAAAUAUCUGCAAUCUGAUAUUCUGAUCUGCAGUAUUCCAAUUUGAUCAUGUUUUUCCCAACUUGGUCUCGCAGGAAGUGAUAUCGAAUAUCAAUGUGUUUUGCAAGAUUAAUUGCAGAGACAUUAUCAACAUAAAUCUUAAUUGGAACAUCUAUAUUAAAACCAAUUUGAGUCAUGAUAUUGCUAAGUCAAACUGAUUGACAAGCACUUGCUGCUGUUGCUACAUACUCAGCUUCACAAGUAGAUAAUGCAACAAUUGACUGUUUCUUUGAUGACCACAAGCAAACAGUCUUUCCGAUCAAAAAACAAUUACCACUAGUGUUCUUCCUCUCGUCUGAAUCUCCACCCCAAUCACUGUCUGAGUAUCCGACGAUUUCAAUCUUCUUAGAUGAAGAGUAAAAUAGACCAAAAGUUGUAGUACCUUUGAUGUAGCGCAUAAUUCUCUUUACAGCUUGUAAAUGAACUUGUCGAGGUAACUCCAUGUAUCGACUGACCAAUCCCACAACAUAACAUAUGUCGGGUCUAGUACACGUGAGAUAUCUAAGGCUCCCAACAAUCUGCUUAAAGUAUGUUGCAUCUACAGUUUGCCCAUCACCUUUCUUCGUGAGCUUAAUUCCAGUUUCAAUUGGAGUUUUAACUGGGUUUGAAUCCUUCAUCUUAAACUUCUUUAAAAACUCAUCAGCAUAUUUCCUCUGAUGAAUGAAGAUUCCAUCAUCUCCUUGGAUGACUUCAAUGUCCAAAAAGUAGGACAUAAGACUGAGAUCAGUCAUCUCAAAUUCCUUCAUCAUGAUAUGCUUGAAAUCACCAGUCAUUUUGAGAUUACUUCCUGUAAAAAACACAUGAUCAACAUAAAGACAUAAAAUUAGCAAAUCUCCAUGAUCAUUAGUCUUUACAUAAAGACCAUGAUCUGAUGCACAUUUUUUGAAUCCAGUGGCAUGAAGAAAUGAAUCAAUCCUUUUGAUCCAAGCUCUUGGUGCCUGUUUAAGACCAUAUAAAGCCUUAGUUAGUCUGUACACAACAGUUGUAGGAACUAAUUGAAGGAAAUAAGAGAAGGCAAAAGGUUGUAGAGACUGAUUGAACGUAAUUGCACAAAAUUGCAAAAGUCAUCUUCUUCAUUUUGAUUUACUCAAUCAUAUAUAUAAUAAAAUUACAAUUACUGGAAGCUAUAAAAAAAGGAAUACUAACAGACCUGUAUACUGACCAAGAAUGCAAUAUAACGGUAAAAUAGUUUAAGGGUAAUAAAAUCAGAAUUAAUAAUAAAAUCAGAAUUAAUAAUCAACAAAUUGCAUAUAUACUUAUACUUUAUAUUAAAUAAUUAGGAGAACGAGUUCAAUUCAUUCGAUGUCGAGUUUAUUAUUUCACCAUCUCUACUCAUUUCAUAUGGAAAUAAAGCAGGCUUUAGAGGUAUUUCCAAGUCUUCAAUGUCUCCUUCAAGCAUUUCCACUACUCUAUUCAUUGAGGGUCGAUGGUGAACAUAUAUUUAUUCACACUCACUAGCCUUAUUCAUAGAUUAUUGGACUAUAAUAAUAAAUAAAUCCAUUGUUUUAAUUAAUAUUCUUAUAAUUGGGUUUAUUUGGGCUUUAACUAUUAUUAUUGUUAAUUUUGUGUUUUUAGAGUAAAUUAUCCAGAGGAAGCAUCUACCUUUGUGAAUGGGCCAAAUAUGCAAAAGUCCAAGUUGCUUCUUGAACCAAAACAGAAAACAAAUUCUGAGGAGAAGAAAGAGAAAAUAAAAGCUACAAUAUCUCAGAAACAGAAUUGGAAGCAAAUCUUCUGUUAAAUAAAAAGAAUUAUGGAAAGUGGAAACUGUUUACAAAAUCUAAACUGCAAUAUUUUCCCAAGAUCCUUGGAGCAGGAAAGCCUAUAAAAGGACACAAGCAUCAAGGAGAAGAGAGAGAGCUUCAUAGGGUUUUCUUAGUUUAUUUUCUUCUCAGUAAUUCUUUUGUUUUGCCUCCGCAUGGAAGGCUAAAACUUUUUGGUUGAUUCUUUUGUAAUUUCCCAUUGAGUUCUGAGGUUCUGUUCAAUAAAAGUUUCAUUUUUCAAUUCUUUAUAGCAGUUGUUUUUAUUGUCUAAUCUUCUGGAAAACUAGUUUUCUGGAAAACUAGUUUUUGUGAGAGGUUGUACUUGAACGCAUGAUUGAGAGUCUUCCUUGUCUUAAACUUUGGUUUCUUAGUUAGUUCGCAUCGUUCUAAUUAAUUUCUUGGGCGCAUGAUUCAAGAGAGAGGAGGUAAGCAUUCCCAUGGAGUAUACGCAUGGAAAAAAGUGGGUAUUGAUUAAACUAGUAGACGCAUGUUUUACUGGUGAGUUUCAGUUGAAUUAGAUUGAUGCAUGUUCAAUCUGGUUUAGCUCUGUUGGAGGAUUGAGAAAAGAUUAAUCUUUAGAGAACCUAUGAAGAAUUCAAUGGUGGAAGAACUUAGGAUCAACCGCUUUUUUAUUUUCUAUUUUAAUCUCUUUUAUAUUUUUUGCACAACUAUCUCAAACUCCCUUUUUAUCUUUAUUGUUAUUGCUAACUUUUAUUGCUUGCAGAUAGAUUUUAAACCCUGAUCAACUAAUUUUACUAUUGGAUUCGUUGGGAGACGACUUGGGGACAUUUGUCCAUAAUUAUACUAUCAUCUCUCUAGUGUUAGACAAGUCUACGCUAGAAUCAUAUUAAUUUGACAGCAAAACGACAGUUAUCAGUCAAUCACUUGGUUUCAAUUGUAUACACCAAAGAGACACUAUAAUCAUUUUCUUUGCUAUUAUCUUUUCCUCUUCAGUCAAAUCUUCCAUAUCUAUAUCUUCCUCUUCUCCGAUAUGAUCAUAGAUCCAGAGUGGAAAGUAAAGUUGACUUGAGUGGUCUACAUGGGGAUUUAGAUUCUUCCUCUUGCUCGCCAUCUCCAUAAAAAACAUUCCAAAGCUAUAAACAUAAGCUUUAUGGGAUAUUCCUCCAAUAUUUUUGUAAAAUAGCUAUGGAGCCAUAUAUCCAAUGGUUCCUCUUGCUGUAGUCAUUGUGACGAUACUAUUAUCUAUUGGAUAUAACUUUUCCAAUCCAAAGUUUGAAACCUUAGGGAUGAAGUUUUCAUCUAGUAAGAUGUUAUGAGGUUUGAUGUCAAAAUGAAAAAUCUGCAUCUCACACCCAUGAUGCAGAUAAGCAAUCCCACGAGCCACUCCAAUUGAUAUAUUAUAUAUCUUUUCAUAACUUAAAUGUAUAUUUCUCUCUUUUGAGAAAAUAAAUUUAUCAAGAGAUCCAUUGGGCAUAAAUUUAUAAACAAGAGCACGCUUUGAGCCACUAACACAAAAUCCAAUUAAUCAUACCACAUUUUGAUGAUGUAUUCUUCCAAUGGUCGCAACUUCAUUGAUAAAAUCUUGUCCAUUUGCUUUGGAUUUGCCUAACAUUUUGAUGGCCACAGAAGGCCCACUGCACAACUUUGCCUUAAAAACAGAGCCAAAUCCUCCUUCACCUAACUUCUCUUUGAAACCUGCAACCAUCUUCUUGAUUUCCUUGUACGAGUAUCUAAUAGGUGCCAAACUAUUUUGUUUAAAGUAAUUUUCAAUAUUUUCAUACAUUGACAUAUGUCUUUUUCUCCAUUUAUAUAUAAAAAUAACAAUUAUGAAUGACAAUCCAAUCAAAACUUUGUAAGCCCAUCCUAUCAGAAUACCUGCAAUAAAUUUUUUACUUUGAGUGAUUACGCUGGUAAUGUAAUGCACUAAAGUAUUUUGUAAAAUAUUUAUCGUUCAUAAAAUCCAAACUUUGCACAUCCAUACUUAGUAACAUAAAAAAAAAGUGUAAAUUUAAUGUCUAGCACAAAGAAAUAUUAACAAUUUUUUUUCACGUUGCUAUCUAUAAAUAUAUUUUUAUGUAACAGUAAUGUGUCCUAAGACCUAAUGGAGUGAUGGUUGUAAAAAAUGCAUACGUAUUUUUUUAAAUAGUUUCUAUAAAUUUUUUAACUUCAAUUUGUGUUCCUCUAACCUCUUUUAACCUAUUGAAAAUCACAAUUCUUUUAAUCUUUAAGGUAAUUAACAUUUAAUAUGGGUUAAAAACCUUUAUUUAUUUCACUUUGAGGAUUAAAAUUUUGAUUUUUUUUAAAUUAGAUGAAGAAAAUAUGAGAAUUUUUUUUGAUAAAUUAAAAUUUAAUUUUAAAAAUGGGAAGUAUGUCUGAGAUCCAACGUCAACUAUAGAUAAAAAUAUUUUAUAAUAUAUAAGUGAAUGCAAACAUCAUCUUACUGUUUUAUAAGAUUGAGUUAGACUUAAAGUUUACUUCUUAAUAUAGUAUCAUAGUCAAUUAGAGUGUAUCAUAAUAAGAGUUUGUUGGACUUAUCAGACCACUCAUAAAUAUAUAGUCACAUGCACGAGUUGAUAGUCUCGACGUAAGGGGUUAUGUUGGAUAUUCUACAUCGAUGACUAGAUAUAAGGAUAUUUUAUAGUAUAUAAGUGGGUGCAAACCUUACUAUGAGUCAGUUAUAUAAGGUUGAGUUAGGCUUAAAGUUUACUUAUUCGAUGUCGUAGAUUUCUAACGAAAUAUUACUCGUAUCGUAGAUUGAAAAAAGCUUUCAACGGGUACUAUGAAAAUGACACUUGUCCCAAUCCAUUAAGUGGCCUUCAAAAUUACGAAAAUGUAGUACCGUGUGAAGGUGACUUAUUGGUGAUAAGGCGCAUGUUGAGAACAAUUCCAAAACCUUUGGAUGACAGCCAAAGAGAAAAUAUUUUCCUCACACGCGACCUUACCAACAACAAGUUAUGUUCCAUGAUAAUAGAUGGGUGUGGUUGUACUAAUGUGGCAAGUACAAGAGUGGUGGAAAAGCUUGGACUACCCACUAUCUCUCAUACAAAGCCCUACAAGAAUGACUUAAUAAAGAGGGUGAAAUCAUGGUUACUAAACAAGUCCUCAUAACUUUUGUUAUAGGAAAGUAUAAAGAUGAGGUUUUAUGUAAUGUUGUGUCUAUGGAAGCAACACAUGUUCUUUUGGGGAGGCCUUGGCAAUAUGAUAGACAAGUUCUACAUGAUGACCAAACAAACAAAAUGUCUUUCAACUUCCAAGUGCAUAAGGUUAUAUUAAAACCCCUAUCUCCCAAAGAAGUUCAUGGGUACCAACUAAAAAUAAAAAACAAAAGAGAAAAUGAAAAAGAGAGAGAAAGAAAAGAUAAUCGGGUCAUAAACUAUCAUCUUACACAACUAAAUCAAUCAUGUUGACUCGUGCCAUGCUACAAACUGCACCUCCAAGGUGUCCUCUUCCUUAUCUUUUUCAUUAGCAAAUACAUCUAAAUACUUAACAUCUUGGACAAAGAAGUUUUGGGAUGAAAAUCAAACACCUUCUAUGGAUUCUCACCUUUUAAGAGGAUUUUUUUCACCAAGUACUUUCAUCCUCAAAUAUUAUUUCCCAACAUGGCUUGUAUAUAGAGCUUCCACUUUUAAACUCCUCAAGCUUAAACUAACUAUGUUGUUUGCAUGAGUUCUAAAUUCGAGGUUGGAUUCUCUCAAACUUGGGGGGCAUGAUACAAUCCAAGCCCAUAAAGAGAUGACCAAGGACUCACAUUACCAUCCACACUAUAAGAAGUCAUCUCAACUUUCAAGUAAAGACCCCACCAAGGAUCUAGCAGACCUUACCAGAAGGAGAAUGGGCAAAAACUAGAACAUCAAUUAUUCUUCCUUCUAGUCUUCUUAAGAAUAAAACAAGUUGUAAAUAAUUUGGGCUCACAUUGGAGAUCCAAAUAGCAAGAUGGGCUAGAAUAAGGUGCCUUUAGCAUAAUAGCGGGUGUAGUUAUCAUUUUGUCUUGUUUCUAGCCCUUUAAGAAGGAAAUUUGACCUAGUUUCUAGAAGAACAAACAUAGGGUGCGUUUUUGACUUAGUCAAACCCUAAAGGCAGCCUCUCAAACAUUUACCACCCUACCCCUGCCCUUCUUGCCCACCAAGGCACCCAUUCCUACAAAUAGGGUGUCAUACUCCAUGUAUUUUCAUGUUGAAUUUGAAUAGUAAAGUUACUCUGCACAACUUGUGUGAGGUGUUUGUGAGGCUUGUGUCCUCUUAGCAUUAGGUCUUAUCUUGAGUGAUUUGAGAGCUCUCAAGUGGCGACCCUUUACACUUAUCUUGGAGGAAACCACCCUCCAAGUGGCGUGUCCACCUCUCUCCCAUCAUUCAUAAGCUUCCUUUUCCUUCAUCUUUUCUUUUCAUCUUCCAUUCCACCAUUUUCUCUUUGUGUUUAUGUUUUUAUUUUCCUCCAUUUUUCAUUCGGUCUCUGUCAUCUUAUUAUGUUUCCUUCCAUGCUCUUUCAAUUUCACACCAUACAUCAUCGUCAUUAUAUAAUGUGUUUUUCCUUUUGCCUUUGGAAGUGAACCUUCACAUUUACUUAACCACUUGGUUAAGUUCGUGUCCAAUGAGAAUCUUCCCUAGGUCUUACUAUCUAAUUGUUAAAAAUAUCAAUCCUAAGUAAAAUGUCACCUCUAAAAUGGAACAAUCUAAAAUCAACUCACAUCAAAAGAGGUCAAUCUUUUUUUAUCUUAUGUAUUGGAGUAAGUUAGUGUUGAUUUCUCUCGGCAAGUGUACCGAAUCAACUGUAAUAUAUUACUCUUUAAAGUACGCAUGUCGAACCCACAGGGAACAAUUCUAAUUAAGAUGUUCUGUUAUAAAACUCAUUAAGUAUAGAAAAUAAUUUUGAGACUUUGUCCAUAACCAAAUUAAAGAAUUCACGAAUAACUCGGAGAGUUAGGGUUUGAUUCAGGACGUAACAAAACCAACUUAUCAAAUAUAGAGAAAGAUACUUGGGAUUGAAUUGCGUCUAUCUCAAUCAUCUGUAUUUUGAAUAAUACAAUAUAUAAUACUCAAAAUUACUUAUUCUUUAUGCUUAAUUUAAAGUCAUUCACUUUGAUUCCUCACAAAUGAAAUUCAUAAGAUAAUUUAUCAAAUACUGAUUCCUCAAAUAUCUAACAAAUCAUCCAGCUUUAUGAACAGAUCUAUGAUGCAAUUAAUAACCUGGAAUCUAUUCCUAGCAUUACAAGUUAUCAUGUAUUUUCGUCUAUUUCAGAUCCUUAAAGGUACUUUCCAGUUGAAUUUAAGGAUCAAAAUCAAGACUCUAUUGAUCAGACAGAAUCAAGCAAUAAGCAUAAAACGAAAAUACCAAGAACAAGUAGAAAAGAUAAUAUUAUAUAUAUAUAUAUAUAUAUAUAUAUAUAUAUAUCACCAAGAAUGCAUUUGAUCAAGGUAAAUUACAUUCAAUCCCAAGUUAGAAAGAAUUUAGCCACUCAUGACAGCUCCUCCAAUCUUCAUUCUUGAUCUGGAUUGCAUAAGAAGGGCUGAUAUGAGCAAGUUCUUCUCCUAAGAACAGAGGUUUUUCCUCCUUCUCUCACUAAUCUCUCUCUAUAAAAAUUGAAUCUUUCUCCACUGCUCCUUUUGAGUUGUGUUUCAAAAUUUAUAUAAUCAACUUUAGCUCAAGCUAGCCAAUUUAGCUUAAGCUAGAUCUUUCGGUGCAUUUUUAGCUUGAGCUAGCGAUUCUAGCCUGAGCUAAAUCAGUACUGCACCUUUAAUCAACUCUGGACAGUUUUAGCUUGAGCUAGCGAUUCUAGCCUAAGCUAGAUCAGUACUGCACCUUUAAUCAACUCUGGACAGUUUUAGCUUGAGCUAGCAAUUCUAGCCUGGGCUAGAUUAGUACUGCACCUUUAAUCAACUCUGGACAGUUUUAGUUUGAGCUAAAUCCUCUAGCUUGAGCUAAAUCUUCUUGUGAUCCAAUUAAGUUUUUACUUUCUUUCGGUCAAUGGCAUCUUGAAUAAUUCUUUCAAUGCUUCAUAUUCAUCUGCAAUUUACACAAAAAUUGAGAUUAAAUUUCUUCAUUUGUUUCUUGGUUCAAAAUAUAUAAUCAGAUUCAAUAAUUCUCAGAUUAGGGUAAUUUUCUUACAUUAAGCAACAAUUAAGUUCCAAAGUGUUCAAUUUUCUCAAUCAUAAAAACUACACAUUGGCACUUAUUAGUUAGAUGUAAACAUUAUAUAGAUGUAAUGCAUGUAUAUAAAAGAAUGUGUGUAACAGCUUAAUCAGAAUACUUCUGAACAUUAAAGGUAAAUUGAAGGAUGAUGUGAAUGCAUGUCUGGAUUUGAUUGAGAUGAAUAUACGAGAGGAAUUGGCACCGUGAGAAGUUGGUAAACAUACAUAUUUGCCUGCAGCGUGUUACACUUUGUCGAAGAAUGAGAAAAUAAGUUUUUGUGAAUUUCUUAAAGGUGUUAAGGUACCACAAGGCUAGUCUUCAAAUGUUAAGACUCUUGUAUCUAUGCAUGAUUUGAAAAACCAAAAACCCCAUCCCUUAUACAAAAACCAAAAACAAGUUUCCUUGCACCAGCAAGGAUCCACCAGACCUUACAUGACAAUACUAAAAAACACGUAUAAAAUACAAGAUACUGAGACCCCACAACCCUCAACCCAACAUUGAAACACACUCUCAAAACAGACACAAAAUCCAACAGUUAAAGAAUAUCUUUACUAGCAUUAUGACCUACAUCGAACUCAAUGCCAAAUACAAUAGUCGAUAGCAUGCAAAAAGAUUUUAACAACAUUUCUGUUAAUGGAAAUUUGAGAACUACUAAUAGAAGUCUAUUAUUUUGUGUAAUUAAAGAAUUUAGAAAUUAAUAUGAUAAGUCUUACGUGCUAGAUACAGGAUUAGCACUCCCAGCGGUGAUAGACCAGAUGAGCCUGAAAUGAAGGAACAUAUGAAGUUUAGAAUAGUGGUGAUCUCAACAGUUAUUAAAAAAAUACUAUAAAGGACCACAUAUAGCUAUAAAGUACCACAUUUUUCCUUUUACAAAAUUGUUCGAAGACGUAUAUAUGAUACUUAAAACGUAGACUUUGACUCAGAAACCGCGUUUCUAUCUUGUUUCCGUAACUCAUUUUAAUCCAUACAAAAUUUUAAAUAUUCGUGAAGUGCAUGAAUUUUUAUUUCGGUAUUUAAUCAUGUAAUUUUGUUGAUGGUGUUCUUUGAGUUUCUAAAACCAUCCUAAAUUCUUCGUUUUAAAAGCUUAUAUUUUGAAAAAUAAUUUUAAUGACCUUACAAUUUCUGUGAGUCCCAAAAUAAUGUUUGUUUAGUUAAGAAACUUCUACAUGUGAUUGGUACAUAAAUUGUUUUGGUGAAUGUUCCCCCGAAAAUGGCCUCAUAUGUUUCUUUGAGUUAAUUUCUUGAACAUAUUCUUCUUGGACAUGGGAGCAAGAAAGAGUGUGUGGUGGCAGAACGAAGCACUAACAAUUUUCUGUAUGUGUAAAAGGUAACGGACAAAGAAAAAACAUAUGGAAGCAAUUCCAAACACGUAACCCAAAAUUCCAGCAUACUUUUCAACUUGUAGCCUAAAAAACUCAAUAAUUAAAAGUGCGUUUCGAAGAAUUUGACGUAGAUCUCCAAAAUUAUAAUAUGCCCAAAAAUGUGUAUGGUUAGACCUUGUGGACUUUGACCUUCAUAAAGUUAAUAAAAGUGAACAACUCAGAGAUAAUUCUUGAUAGAAUUAAACACUUGAGUUACAUAGGAUGAGCCGGGAGAUCCUCAUUCAGCUAAUUAUUAAUUGGAAGAAUAAAAAAUCAUUAAGCAAUUUUUGUGUGGAAAAGCUAGCAGGAAAUUUCUAAACCAAUAUUUCUGCAUGCAGGUAUCAAAAUCCUCAAGUGCAUGUAGUUUAUUCCAUGAAACAUUACAUUUUAGUCUAGUCUUAAGCUUGUUUCACACUAUUAUGUCCAUUGUAGCAAAUUAACCAAAACCCUAUUCGUAAGCAUUCACGUUCUCUGUACCCCAAUUGCCACAAGAAGAAUACUCACCACUAACUAGUUGGUAUUAGUUGAUCACACUCUCGAAACUCACUACAAGUAGUUGUCACUCAUCAUCAAUGUUCAUUGAUAAAGGUUUAUCCAAGCCCAUCAGAGUUUUGAUAAACUUUCACUAUAAGAAAAUCAUGAAAUAAAAACUAAAAUAAUUAGUUGUAAUAAUAACUAAAUUAGAGACUAUUUUAGAAACUAAAAAAAGAUUGGUUUCUAAAUUUUUUUUAUCAGCAAUGACAAAUAUAUAAAUGCGAACCACAUUAGGAGUGGAACAACCCAUUAACAAAAGAAAAAACAUAGACCUCUCUAGAUCCCUAAAAAGGCAUCACAGAAUCAAAUGCAUACAUAACAGGGGUUCCAAACACCAACUGGAAAAAGAGACCGGAGCAGCAUGAGAUUUUGUAGAAAUCCAAGACCAAACUUUUUUUUGCAUCAAAGAACAAACUUCCGACGCGUCAGCCACUCCCCUAUUGAAAAUAACCGAGUUUCUGCGAAUUUAGAUCUCCCCCACGACCCCUACCCAAAUAGUAUUCCAAACCACAUUAAUCGAAGUAGAGGACGUGUUCAUCCUAAACUGCGCAAAGUUUGACAUAGGGUCAUUGUGAGAUACAAAUGACACUCCCAGCCACUUAAAGCAGUAACACCAUACCCGCCAAGCAAAGUUGCAUUCGAAAAAUAAGUGACGGUAUGACUCUUCCUCCUUUCCGCACAGACAACACAAGGAACUUUCCACCAGCACCCUUCAUCUUUCCAAAUUGACCCUAGUAGCAAUCUUGUUUUGCAACACCCUCUAGGCCGUAAGCAAAGCUGAAGGAAACGCUUUACAAUUCUAGAGCUUACUAAAAACCGAAGAUGGGUCCGCCACACUAACCCUCCUCACUAAAGAGUAAGCAGAGUUGACAGAGAACAUCUAACCUUCACCUUAUCUCUGUCAACUACCACAUUGUCUAUCAGUCCCUUUUCUUUAGUCAUCCUUGAUGCCCCAACCAACCCUUCUGCCACAAUAAGAAAAAGGAACGGGGCUAGCGGAUCAUCUUGACAAAGACCUUUCUUAGGGAAGAAUUCCUUGGUUGGACUACUGUUCACUAGAACAGAAACCGACGCCGAUUUUAAACAUCCUUUUAUCCAUUGAAUCCACAACUCACUAAAGCCCAACCUCCUCAACAUAUAGUAAAUGAACUCCCAACUAACUGAGUCGUAUGCUUUCUCAUAAUCAACUUUGAAGAAAACGCAACUUUUUCUCUUCCUUUUAUACUCUUCCAGGACCUCGUUGGCGACCAACACACUGUCCAACAAACUCCUCCCUUCAAGAAAAGUCGACUGUCUGACAUCAAUACCUUUGUUGAUCACUUUCUUGAAGCGUAGUAAUAACACUUUAGAGAUGAUUUUAUACAGGCACCCAACUAAAGAGAUAGGGCGAAAUUUACCGAGUUGCUGGGGAUUCUCGACUUUUGGUAUAAGACAAAGGAACGAAGCGUUAGUGCCUCUGGGCCAGUGACCGUUGACUGCAAAGUCUUUUACUGCCGCUACCACACCAUUUUUAACAAUAUCCCAUCAGAAUUUUAGAAAACCAAAAUUGAAACCAUCAGGGCCAGGACUCUUGCAACUAUCACAUCUCCAAAUCGCAGCCCUAACUGUUGGGUUUAAUAGUGCCAAAGUUCAAGAGGGGGGUGAAUUGACCUUUUAAAACUUUCUCGCAGAAACAGUGUUUAACUCAGUUUUACAGAAAAUAAAUCGAUUUAUGUGAAAAUGAACAGAUUUAUUUCAGCACUGUUUUUGUUUGAAACGCUUUUAAUACAGCAAGGUUAAUCACAAGACUAUGUAGAUAGAUUUUCCAGAUGCACACACACAAAUAUCAGAAUGAAAAACAGUGAAACACAAAACAGCAAACUUCAAUUUCAAGCAAGUGAUUAAGGUUCAAUUGAUAACAUGCUAAUUAAUUGAGUGACCUUUGCAAACAACCUGUUCCAGUGACUUUUGACAGACUAUGAGUGUUCUUCUUGAUGUCAAGCAAUUUUCCAGAAAUUAAGAACAAUGAAUCACAGAACAGCAAGCUUCAACUUUCAGCAAUUGUUUAAGGUUCAAUUAAUAGCUUUGACAGUUUCUUGAGCAGUCUAUCACAGUCAAUGUGUUCCAAUGGCUUUUAGCAGAUUAUAUAUGUUCUUAUCAGAUUCAAACAACUUUUUCAGAAAUCAAGAACAGUAUGCACAGUGCCCAGAAAGAACAGAUUUAUUUUCAAUUGAACAGAUUUAUUUCUUUGCUGUUUUACCAAUUAUGCAGAAACGAAAUUGCAGAGAGUGAGAGAGAAUGAACACAAGCAGUUAUACUGGUUCACUCAACCUGAGCUACAUCCAGUCUUCACCAACAACAGGUGGAAAUCACUAAAACACAGUACAACCAAGUACAAUUCCCACUGUUCUUGAAACCUACAAGAACUUAGGUACUCUUGCUGAAAAAACCUAUUUCAGCUCACACACACACACUCUCCAAGAACACCUAUGAAGAAGAGUGUUCAACCAAACUAUUACAAGGAAUAAGAAGUGAAACGACUACACCUGAUUGAGGAUACAAAGAUCAGCCUUAAACCAGUAGGCAAGAUUGCUAGAACAGUAGCUGCACCUCACACCAAGCUUUUGGAACCAAACCAAGAACAAGCACUUUGUGAUUUUCGAAAUCUUUGAAGAAUAAAUGCUAAUCCUUUGUAAACUUUUGAUUCUCUGCUGUAAAAACUUGUUUUUGCAAAUGUAUGAACUGUUGAAUUGAUUAUUAACUCAGAAAACAAGUUUGCCUUUUAUAGAGAACCAACUUAUAAUAGAUAUUUGAAAAACAGUUAAAGCUAUUAUAAAAUGAACAGAUUGAAAACAAAAUGAACAGAUUUAUUUUCAAAAAGCAGUUAUAGAAUCUGUUAAGUGAGGAGACUUAGUCAACCAUUCUGGUGCAGAGAUAAAACUGAAAAACGUUUAAGCUUGUCAUGGCACCAGAGACAAAAAGAAUCUAUUCAUUUACAGAUGAACAGAUUUAUUUUUCAAAACGAAAACAGAGAAAGUUUAACUAUUUGAAACUCAGUCGUUUUGAAAAGAAAAAGACUUAGUCAAAAUGCUUGAUGCACAAAAUCUAAUUUUCACAGGACAAAGCCAAGGCAUCAGUGUAAAAAAUGAAUCUGUUUAUUUAGAAAAGAACAGAUUUAUUUUUAUGCAGUAAACGUGUUUUUUGUAAAACAUGUGAAAAACAGUUUAAGAAAACUUAUGCUUGUUCUUAUCACAUGGCCAGUAGUUAUGAGGUGAGUUACUCAGCAAAAAGCCCACUCUUAGACAACCUCUAAGCACUACCUAAGACAUACUUAAAGCAAAGCAAAAUACAAAUGAAAUGUACAUAUAAGUCUUCAUCAAACACUACAUAUCAGUCUUCAUCAAACACAAUCUUGAAGGGGCAGCAACCAUCUUCAACAAUCUCUUCUUCAGAAAAGUCAUCUAUCAGCAUAUCGUUAUCAGAGUCCGAUAUAGAGCAAAACUUAACAUUAUCCAAACGAACCUGACAAGCAUCGUUCCUAGCAAACCUAUCUUUGAAAAAAGUCUGAACCUUUUCCUUGAUCACCUCCUUAUCCUCGCACCAUUUACCAUUCACAUGAAAACCAUGCAACUGAUUUCUCACCCUUCUCCACUUAACAAACGAGUGGAAAAACAUUCUAUUUAGAUCCCCUUGUUUUAUCCAGCUUUGUCGUUCUUUCUGAAACAUGACUGCCUCCUGCUUAAACUUAGCUUUAUUAAGUUCAGCAAGGAGAACCAUUCUUUCUUCCCUUUCAGACCCAAUCAGCCCACAAACAUCAUCGCGUUCAUCCAGAACUUCGAUCUUAUUUUGUGCCUCCUUGUUAGCAAGAUUCACAUCACCAAAGCUUCUUUAUUCCAAAUUUUUAGGUCAGCUUUUAGCCUUUUCAACUUUUCUUUAAAAAUAAAAAUCCUGUCUCCUACAACCUCAUAAAAGUACCAUCUCGAGCUCACAAACUCCUUAAAACUGUUAUCUCUAAGCCAAACGUCCAAACAUCUAAAAGGUUUUGGGCCCAGUCUACGAACACCUCUUUGAGAAUAACAGUGCAAUGGUCAGAGACAAAUCUACUUAAGACGAACUGUUGACAAUUUGGCCAGAAAUCCAACCAUUCCUUUGACACCAACACUCUGUCAAUUCUGCUCUUUACUAACUCGUUUGACUUAUACCAGGUAAACUUCUUGCCUACCAACGGAAUAUCAACCAAUUUCGAACUUUCAAUAAACUCAUUGAAGCCUUUUAUUUCUCUGGAAUAAUCUAGCGUCUGAUAGAAUUGAAAUCACCAAUGACGCACCAAGCCUUUGAUAGCUGAUUCAGUCUAACUGCAUUGAUUUCACUCCACACUUCCUUCUUUUCCCGUAGGGAACCAGAGCAAUAAACGUUCACUCCCGUUACACUUACCCCAUUACCUCGCUUCCAAAGACCUUCAAUCACAAAGUAGUUCCUGUCGUUUACCACCUUAGACUUUUGAAAAGACUUACUACUCCACAUUGUAAGAACUCCUCCAACACUAUUACAAGCUUUGUUCUCAACCCAAUCAAUUUCGUUAGACCCCCAAAGAAAGUACACCUUCCCCGGCUAAACCCGAACUCUUCGUCUCUUGUAAGCACACCAUAUCCGUCUACUCCUUAUUGAUCAAAUCCCUUAAAUAAUUCCUUUUUAUGGUGCCACCUAACCCUCUGAUAUUCAGACUAAUUAUCUUCAUAAACAAACUUACUCCUAUCUCCCUUCCACUUCCUCGAAAAAUCACCUCCCUGUUUUGAUAGAGACAACAAAUUGUUUACAAUUGCUCCUUCGCGACCGGGAAAAGAAAAACCAGCUUCUUUACCCACACACCAAACCCUUGACGCCUCAUUCUUAUCUGUCUUUACCUAGAAAAUUUUAUUGCAAUUCUCAAUUGCGCUGUCAAACGUGAAUAAAGAAUCAAUAUUAGAUUUUGACUGAUGAACCACGAGAACCUGAUCUACCCUUACAUCCACCAAAUUGCUCUCGUUCAUCACAUUAUCAUCUGACCCGUUCCGGCCAAUGGCCAAACCUGCAUUCGGCCUUGGAGUUAAAACUGCAGCCUGUAUAUUUGGUAGCAAAAACUUUGGUUGCUAAUUAAAUACCAAUUUAGAAACUAUUUAACAAUAAUAUAAACUAAUUUAGAAACCAAUUUAGUUACUAUUGCAACUAAUUAUUUCGGUCUCUAAAAAUUGGUUUCUAUUUCAUGAUUUUCUUGUAGUGUUUACAAGUUUAAAUAAACCAUGUUGAAAAGAUUCAUAUUUAUUAUCAAUCAUUGACAACCUAGUAGAUGGUGUAUUGAGUAUGAGAUGUUGAGUUUCAUGGACUGCUAUUCAAGUUAUAACUAAAUUAGAAUGUAUUGAAGACAAGACAACAUUAUGCUAGAAAUAUUUGGUUUUUGUUAGAAAAAAAUAUCGUUUGGAUUGAAGAAUAUAAAAAACAACCUAUCAAAGGUUGGUGGAUCGAAUCUCAUGCAAUUUGAUUGGUUGGAAUGUUGAAACAUAUAUGCAUGACAUAAUGGUCAUAUUAGACAAAACUGACCAACAUGAAAAAAACUUGGAAGAGUUGUUCAAAACUAUUAACAAAUAUAGUUUGAAGUUUUUUUUUAUCAGCAAAAACUAAAUGAAUAAAAGGGGAUGCUUCAGGAGUGUACCAACCCGUAUAAAAAAACCAAAGACAACAAAGGAAGUUAAACACAACAAAAUAUACUUGGAUAAUAGGGAUGGUGUCCCUUUUCAACAAUCUCCAACAAGUUUAGAUUAGUAGACUCAAGAUAUGUUAUGCUAAGCUUUCAUAGAUAAUAUUUUUCACCUUUGAAAAGAGGUGGAUGAUUGACAACUUGACCUUCUCCUUGAGUCUAAUGGAUUGAACCUCUCUUUCUUAUUAGGAUUUUACCCUAGAGGCAAGCUCUGGUUUGACAUAUCUUUAGUCGCAUCAGAUUUUCCAAACAAAAAUUAAGCUUCCCCCGAUGUAACAUAAGGCUAACUUAGGUCGAAUCUCUAAAUACAUAUCUCAUAUAUUAUAUUUUCACUACUUCAUAUUCUACUUAAAUAAGUUAAAAUUGGAGGGGGGAAAAAGGAAAUUGGAAUGAAAAACGAACUAAAACAUAAAACAAAGUAAAGAAUAGACCAUCAAUACAUAAUUGUCUAACAGACUGUUCAUCAAAACAUGAAAUGUAAAGAAUNNNNNNNNNNNNNNNNNNNNNNNNNNNNNNNNNNNNNNNNNNNNNNNNNNNNNNNNNNNNNNNNNNNNNNNNNNNNNNNNNNNNNNNNNNNNNNNNNNNNNNNNNNNNNNNNNNNNNNNNNNNNNNNNNNNCUACUUAGAGAAAGUGAAAGAGAAAGAAAGUGAGACCGACCAUCUAAAAGAUGCAGUAAAGUAAAUGACUAAAAUGUAAAUUGUGAGAAAUAUAAAUAGAUGAAAUGUAAAUUGCAGGAAACAUAAAUUAUUGGAAAUUAAAGUGCAGGAAAGUAAAUUGCAAAAGUCGUAGAGUACAAAAACUUAAAGACUGGAAACAUAAAAUAGAGCAUGAUUCAAAAUGUAAAUUGCAAUUGAUUUAACAAGAACAAAAAAUGAAUUAGAUGCAUAAAUUGAAAAUAUAAAUUGUAGAACUAUAAAUGAACAAGAAUUAAAAGGAAUAAACGAAAGGAAAAGCAAAAUUCAAUUUAUGAAUGUGAAACACGGGACAAAAUCAUGGUUCGAUAAUCUUCAACUUUGAAUGCAAGAGACCAAAAUUUGGAUUCCUUUUUAAUCAAGAAAACACAAUCGUUCAGUUUGAAUGUUCAUAAAAAAUAUUUUCAAUCAAAAAGGAAAAUACUAAAAUAGAGCAUCAUCAAACAUGAUUUUUAAUUCACUGUUACCCAAUUACAAAAUUAAAUUCACUUUCAAAUAUAAAGCGCAAAAUAUAAAGCAAUGCAGAAGUUAAAAAAGAAAAGAAGAAACAUGAGAGAGUGAAGAAGAAAAAUAAAGAACUCUCAUAAUAUUGGAAACCAACAAAAACUAUUAAUAAAAAACUGAAAACUAAACUAAACUAGUGUUGCACCUAAGUGCUUGCUGAAACAUAUCUUUUCUUCUGCAGUUACAGUUUACCUAUAAAGUUUUGAAGCUUUACAAAUAGGUGGUCCUUGGUUGCAAUUGAAAUCGGACCCAAAAAACUGAUCUAAAACUAGCUAAACUGACAAUCUUAAACUUAGUUUUGUUGACUAUCUAAUACUUCGUUAAUGCGCUUCGUUAAUGCGCUUCGUUGAAUGCUGACUUUUAACCGUUUAAUGCUCAUUUUGUUGAUUUUCAUUCUUUCAACUCAACUUUUUCCACUCUUCGUGGUAUAAGUAUUUUCAUUAAAGACCAAUUCAAAAAUAUUCCUACAAAAGAUCAUAAGCAAUUGUUAGGCGGUUGAAGCAAAAUUUAAGCUAAAAACUAUAUUUUUAUUACUUUUUUAUAAAAGAAUACUAAUUUCUUAAAGAAAAUACAAAUUUACUCUACAACCAAAAAAUAAGAACCAAGCAAAUCUCCAAAAUCAGAAAAUAAACAAAAACAUUCAAAAUUUAUGUUAAAUCCUAAACUUUAAACCCUAAACCAUGCAUGACUGUCGAUAUAAAUUUGAUGUAAAUUUUGGACUUCCUUUUUUAAGUUUGAUAGUUUUGGCUUCAAACUAAAGCCUCAAAUCAAGAAAACUCCCAAUAACAAUGCAUAUACAAUAAUAGAUAAAUAUUAUGUACAAAAUCAUAUAAUUUAACCUUAAUAUUUGUUGUAAAACAAGAACCUAAUAUAGCAAAAUAAAAACAAAAAAUAGAGUGUGUGAAACGAAAACAGAGUAAGUGGUAAAACCCUAAAUUUCUUCAAUGACCAUUGGAGGAGAUCGCGGAGGUUCAACGAAGACCGGAUCUGCUCCAAGGUUUUCGCGCGGCGUUGCCUCUUCUACCCUGAAUCGUAGCCGCACGACUGGGAACGCUCACGCCUUCGCUCUACUGAUAGUGUGGAAUCUUGAGAACGUUGCGAGAUUCGUGGGUGGUUGGCUCCUCCUUUCCCGUGGGUCUUCCUCCAACUCCGGCGACAGUCACGACUUCGUUAGGGUUUGAAGAUGCGGUAGUUUUGGGUUUCUCCAUCUAUAAAUACCACAUUCCAUCCUCUUGCUUCACACUACUCUCACUCACGGUUCUUCAUCCUCUUGAAACCCUCUACCGUGCUUCUUCUCCUUCUUUUCCAUUCUUCACCUUUUCUUUUUCUUUCUCUCUCUUCAAUAUUUUAUUAUUAUAAUAAUUAUGUGUUCUAUUGGAGUAUUACUCUUUUAAAGAGAAACUUGCUAGUUCUGAUCCUCGAAAACUACCGGGAAGUUCCUGUUGUAUCUUGGGGGACUUACGCAAUACACCGCGGAUAAGUCCUUAUGGACAAUGUGUUGGGUCUAUUAGUGUCUAAGUUCAAGAGGGGAGGGGUGAAUUGAGCUUAUAAAAUUUUCGCAAAAACACACAAUUUUUCAGUAUUCCAGAGGCAAAAAGAACAGAUUGUUUUUACAUGAAACAGAUUGAUUCUUCAGAGCAGUAUUGGCACAAUUUGAAUUUUGUUCACUGUAAAAUUGUGAUCAGCAGAGAAUUAGAACAGAACCAGAUCUGCUUAAUAUUGUGAGGAUGAAGGAUAUAGCUAUGCUUAGAGAUCAACCAAAAUUACACAACACAAGAUUUCAAGAAGUAUGAUCCUUUCUCAGGUUUUAAUGAAUGGUCAGUUUGUUCACAAUUCACUUAAGCCAUUAUAUGCAGCAACCUUGUUUAUGAUCAGAAAACUUUAACAAGACAGGAAGAACAGUUUUCACUUAACCCAGAAUUAACAGAUUCAAUUUAAAAAGAACAGAUUCAGUUCUUGACAGAAUUAAGCAAAAGAUCAGAAAAGAGUGCAGGGAUGAGAAUGCAAGAUACACACGUUUUUAUACUGGUUCACUCAUACAGAGCUACAUCCAGUCUCACCUUACCCCAAGGUGGAAUUCACUAAAAACAGUGCCAAUCACUUACAAAAACCAGCAGUUCUUGAACACUANNNNNNNNNNNNNNNNNNNNNNNNNNNNNNNNNNNNNNNNNNNNNNNNNNNNNNNNNNNNNNNNNNNNNNNNNNNNNNNNNNNNNNNNNNNNNNNNNNNNNNNNNNNNNNNNNNNNNNNNNNNNNNNNNNNNNNNNNNNNNNNNNNNNNNNNNNNNNNNNNNNNNNNNNNNNNNNNNNNNNNNNNNNNNNNNNNNNNNNNNNNNNNNNNNNNNNNNNNNNNNNNNNNNNNNNNNNNNNNNNNNNNNNNNNNNNNNNNNNNNNNNNNNNNNNNNNNNNNNNNNNNNNNNNNNNNNNNNNNNNNNNNNNNNNNNNNNNNNNNNNNNNNNNNNNNNNNNNNNNNNNNNNNNNNNNNNNNNNNNNNNNNNNNNNNNNNNNNNNNNNNNNNNNNNNNNNNNNNNNNNNNNNNNNNNNNNNNNNNNNNNNNNNNAGAUUUAUUUUGUGAAAACUGCCAACUCAGCUUAACAGAAAUAACUGUCUGAGUGGUACCUUUGGAGCCCUAACUAACUUGUGAAAAGCCUUUCAACUCACCAAGGAAUAAACAUGUUCUUUCUCAGUGAAACAUAUUAAAGUAUAACGCACAGGCCAGCUCAGCUUAACUGAAAUAACGAACUGAGCUUUCCCUUGGUGCCUUAACAGAAAUUUAGAAAAGCCUUUUAACAGAGAAGAAAUAAACAGAUUCUUUCUCCAUAAAACAUAUUUAUUUGUGUACUGUUUUAAAACUGUUAAAACCAUUUUAAAAAGCUUUUCAAAAACUAUUUAACGAAAGCCUUUUUAACGGAGAAGAAAUACACAAAUUCUUUUUCCAUAAAACAGAUUUAUUUGUGUACUGUUUUAAAACUGUUAAAAAACAUUUCAAAAGCUUUUCAAAAACCAUUUAACCACAUCAUGUGCUUGAUCUAGACUUGGUUAGGCAUCUAGGAUAGGUUACACAGCAAAAGGCAAUCAUACACACUUACAAGCCUAAUUACAAAUGAAUCUAAGAACCUAUUACAAUCUUCAAAGCACUCAAGCCAUUUUCUUCAUCAAACACACAUCAAGUCUUGGUAGGGAAGAAGCUUCCUCCAGCUUCAACACAAUGAUCACUCACGCCUCGGGAAAUAUUUUGUUCGUUUUAAAGCCUAUUUUACUACAAUCGUAAGGACUUAUGGCUGAAAAUACGAACAACAACGACAACAUUGCUCCGGGAUCGUCAAGUGUUGUUUCCACAACGCAAACCAUUUUUGCUAAACCAUUUCCGGAUGUCUCCAAAAUUGAAGUCUUCACCGGUCAGAACUUCCAACGUUGGUAAGAACGCGUGUCCACCCUAUUGGACAUGUACGGAGUUGCUCAUGCACUUACAACUGCCAAACCCGACUCAACCACGACUACGAAGCAAGUUGAUGAUUGGAUCCAUGCGAAUAAGGUAUGUCGUCACACUUUACUCAGUGUGUUAUCUAACGAUCUGUUAGAUGUUUAUGCUUCUUAUAAGAAUGCGAAAGAAAUUUGGGAUUCUCUUAUCCUCAAAUAUACUGUCGAAGACAUCGUCAGACAAAGGUUCGUAAUUGCAAACUACUAUCGCUGGGAGAUGAUCGAAGGCAAAGACAUCAAAAUCCAAAUAAAUGAAUAUCACAAGCUGAUUAAAGAUAUCAAAACUGAAAGCAUAACCUAGCCGGAUGAAUUCGUGUCCGAACUCUUGAUCGAAAAGCUCCCGCAGUCUUGGACGGAUUACAAACAACAACUGAAGCACAGACAUAAACAUAUGUCUCUAUCGGAUCUGAUCACCCACAUCAUCAUCGAAGACACAAACAUGAAGGAGUGCGCUGCUGCAAAGGUCAAAGCUUUGUCUGCCAAAGCAAACGUGAUAGAAGACAAACCAGCUCCAAAAAGGUACGAGAAAAAAUUUGAUCACAAAAAGAAACCUAAUAACAAAUUCUUUCGUCCCAGUGGAACUAACCCCACUUUCAAGAAAAAGGGUAAUUGCUUUGUCUGUAGAAAGCCAGGUCUUCAUGCACCUUAGUGUAGACAUAGGGCAAAAAACGACUAUCCUCAUAAGGCAAAUCUAGCCAAAGGGGAAGAUACUAUUGUGGCAGUCGUUUCACAAGUAAACCUUGUGACAAAUGUGAGAAAAUGGGUGGUAGACUCUGGGGCUACCAGACACAUCUAUGCAAACAGAAAUGUGUUUACCUCCUACACAAGUGUGGGGGAUGGAGAAGAACAAGUAUAUCUCGGUGACUCCAGGACAACUCCUGUCCUAGGAAAAGGAAAAGUUAUUCUGAAGCUCACAUCUGGUAAAACUCUAGCUUUGAAUGAUGUUCUACAUGUGCCGUCAAUUAGAGUUAAUUUGGUCUUUGUGGCAUUACUAAGCAAAGUUGGGGUUAAAGUGUCAUUUGAAUCUGACAAGAUUGUUAUGACAAAAAUAAUGUUUUUGUGGGAAAGGGAUAUUGUGAUCAAGGCCUUUUUGUAUUAAAUAUUUUUGAAAUUAUGAAUGAAUCUAAAUCUUAUGCUUAUAUUGUUGACUCGUAUGAUAUAUGGCAUGCUAGAUUAGGACAUGUGAAUUCUUCGUAUGUUAUAAAAUUGCAACGACUAGGAUUAAUCAACAUGCAUGACAAACAAAAUAGUAAAUUUGAUGUAUGCGUAGAAUCUAAAAUAACGAAGAAAACAUGUCACUCUGUAGAAUGUCAAACUGAAAUUCUUGGUUUAAUUCAUACUGACCUUGCUGAUUUAAAACAAAUUAUGUCUAGAGGUGGUAAAAAUUAUUUUGUAACUUUUAUAGAUGAUUUUUCUAGAUACACCAAAGUGUAUUUAAUUAAACAUAAAAAUGAAGCUUUUGACAUGUUUUUAACUUAUAAAGCGGAAGUAGAAAAUCAACUAAAUAAGAAAAUUAAGAGAAUUAGAUCAGGUAGAGGUGGUGAAUAUGUUUUAUUUAAUGAUUAUUGUGUAAAAGAAGGUAUUAUUCAUGAAGUAACCCCACCAUAUUCGAGUCUAAUGGAGUAGCUGAAAGGAAAAAUAGGACUCUUAAAGAAAUGAUGAAUGUCAUGCUUAUUAGUUCUAGUGCUCCUGAUAAUUUAUGGGGUGAAUCUCUACUUACUGCGUGUUUUUUACAAAAUAGGAUACCACAUAGGAAAACUGGUAAAACACCCUAUGAGUUGUGGAAAGGUUAUCAACCUAAUUUGAAAUACCUAAGAGUGUGGGGGUGUUUAGCUAAAGUGAUGUUACCUGAUCCUAAGAAAAGAAAAAUAGGCUCUAAAACAUCUAAUUUUAUGUUCUUAGGAUAUGUAGAACAUAGUGCUGCCUAUAGGUUUCUAGUUCUUAAUAGUGAUAUAAUUGAACGUAACACUAUAGUAGAGACGAAAAAUGUUGAGUUCUUUGAACACAUCUUUCCUCUAAAGAGUAGUGGUACAUCUGAACAACCUAUAGAUAGUGCUAGUGAUACCUUGAGUGAGGAUGUUAGGAGAAGUAAAAGACAGAGAAAGGAAACAUCUUUUGGAGAUGACUUUUAUACUUAUCUAGUUGAGAAUGAUCCAAUAAGUUUUGUAGAAGCUACUAGUGCUCCUGAUGCUAAACAUUGGGAUAAGGCCAUUAAAAUUGAGUUUGAUUCAAUUAAGAAAAAUAAUACGUGGACCUUAGUAGAUUUGUCUAAAGGAGCAAAACCCAUUGGUUGUAAGUGGAUCUUUAAGAAGAAGUAUCAUCCUGAUAGAUCCAUAGAGAAAUAUAAGGCAAGAUUAGUAGCUAAAGGGUUUACUCAAAAACAUAACAUAGAUUACUUUGAUACUUUUGCACCUGUUACUAGGAUUUCCUCUAUCCGUGUAUUGCUAGCCUUAGCAUCUAUCCAUAAGUUAGUAAUUCACCAAAUGGAUGUUAAAACAGCUUUUCUGAAUGGUGAAUUAGAAGAGGAAAUUUAUAUGACUCUACCUGAAGGAUAUGUAGUUCCAGGUCAAAAGGAAAAAGUAUGCAAACUUUUAAAAUCUUUGUAUGGUUUGAAACAAGCACCAAAACAAUGGCAUGAAAAACUUGAUAAUGUUUUACUUUGUGAAGGUUUUUCUACCAAUGAUGCUGAUAAAUGUGUGUAUUCUAGAUCUGAAAAUGGUGAAUAUGUCAUUAUAUGUUUGUAUGUAGAUGACAUGCUAAUUUUUGGUACAUGCAAUGAUAUAGUUUUUUAAACAAAAUUGUUUCUUGGAUCUAAGUUUGAGAUGAAAGACAUGGGUGAAGCAAGUGUGAUUCUAGGAGUUAAAAUCAUAAGGAAGGAAGAUAGUAUAUUACUAUCCCAAGAAAAAUACAAUGAGAAACUUCUUAAGAAGUUUGGUUACUAUGACUUUAAGUCAGUGAGUACCCCUUAUGACGCUAAUUCUAAAUUUGGCAAAUCCUCUGACAAAACCCCUAGGGAGAAAAAUGAUUUUAGAAACAUCGAGGGGAAUGGGACUUAAGCCACUUGCAAACAAACAAGUGAUGGAAACCCAACCUUUGUCAUUGGAGAUCCCAUGAAUAAGGUUCAUAUGGGUAAAAACAAGUCACUUGUUAGUUCUGCUAGCACUGAUAUUGAUUUAAAAUCAUUUUUGUCCAUUCCUAUGGUGUGUGUGAAAGUGCUAGUUAUUGCAUUAUCGAGAGGAUAAACUUUGUGGUUAAAAUUCAGAGGUAAAAGAGUUUUAAUGAUUUUCAUAUCCCUUAUGGGUGCUGUAUGAUUUGCAACAUACACUUGAUGAAAUCACCUAUAUGAGUGUCAAGUGGGGCCGCUUGCAUGAGAUCUUGGCAAGAUCUCUAUAGCACUCAUGAAUACCGGGCACGCGCAUGGCCUAGUAGCGCAACACAGCGAUAACAACAAGUAAUGUGGGGGUUUAUUGUGAUUGAUAAACCUCUAACACAUACUAAAUGUCUUGGUUCAUAUAGCUUGCUAUACCAACUACACUAUGUGUUAAGUUCAUCAAUCUAAGACUGGUUCAUAUAGCUUGCUAUACCAGUUCUGAUGCAUUACAUCUUAGAUAAAUCCAGUAUUAUUUUCUUUCAAUAUUUCUAUGUUUUAUCUUUUGCAAUAUGUGGGGGAUUGUUGUAAAACAAGAACCUNNNNNNNNNNNNNNNNNNNNNNNNNNNNNNNNNNNNNNNNNNNNNNNNNNNNNNNNNNNNNNNNNNNNNNNNNNNNNNNNNNNNNNNNNNNNNNNNNNNNNNNNNNNNNNNNNNNNNNNNNNNNNNNNNNNNNNNNNNNNNNNNNNNNNNNNNNNNNNNNNNNNNNNNNNNNNNNNNNNNNNNNNNNNNNNNNNNNNNNNNNNNNNNNNNNNNNNNNNNNNNNNNNNNNNNNNNNNNNNNNNNNNNNNNNNNNNNNNNNNNNNNNNNNNNNNNNNNNNNNNNNNNNNNNNNNNNNNNNNNNNNNNNNNNNNNNNNNNNNNNNNNNNNNNNNNNNNNNNNNNNNNNNNNNNUCUAUAAAUACCGCAUUCCAUCCUCUUGUUUCACACUACUCUCACUCACAGUUCUUCAUCCUCUUGAAACCCUCUAUCGUGCUUCUUCUCCUUCUUUUCCAUUCUUCACCUUUUCUUUUUCUUUCUCUCUCUUCAAUAUUUUAUUAUUAUAAUAAUUAUGUGUUCUAUUUGAGUAUUACUCUUUUAAAGAGAAACUUGCUAGUUCUGAUCCUCGAAAAUUACCGGGAAGUUCCUAUUGUAUCCUGAGAAACUUGCGCAAUACACCGCGGAUAAGUCCUUACAGACAGUGAUCACUCACGUCUCAGAAAAUCUUUUGUUCGUUUUAAAGCAUAUUUUACUACAAUAUUUUCUCAACAAUAUAAAAGAAACUAUAUCAUCUUUGCUGAAGGAAGAAAGUAUAUUAUAUGGAAGCAAUUCCACAAAGUAACCCAAAAUUUCACCACACUUUUCAACCUAUGGCCUAAAAAUUUGACACGAUCGAUCUCCAAAAUAUAACGUCAAAGUAAUAGUGCGUUUUCAAUUUUAAGUCCCACAUAAUUUUCGUGAUUUUAGACUUUAAUUACGUUUAUAGUUACUUACAAAAUUUGGUAUUUUUAAUUAAGUGUGUAUUAAUUUGUAUAUUAAAUUUUUUAUAUAAAUUAAAUUAUUGUCUUUUAUUUUUUUAUUAAUUCAAUAAUUUAAUAUUUAUUUCGUUACUUUUCUUCAUGUAUUAAAAAAUAUAAAAUUUUAUAAUUAAUAUAAAAAAUAUUAUAGUUAAUAUAAAACGAUAAGCCUCUAAAGAACAAAAUCAAAUAUUUGCAUCCGUUUAAAAGGUGUCACUCUUUUAAUCAAUAAAUUUUUUAAUGUACAUUUGUUUAUUUAUAAAUAUAGAUUUUACAUAAGAUUUCAAAUAGAUUUACAAGCUUUAAUUUAUUAAAAUAUAUAAAUCAUUUUAAUCAAAUUAAAGUUGACUAAAUCUAUAAAAAUAAUUUAGGUCGAUCUACAUUUUGAAAACUAAAUAUAUGUUUACAAUACUUGGUAUUAGAAAACUAUAAAAUAAUGAUGCCUUAAAAGCAUUUAUUUUAUAUUUAAUAAAUUGUCUUAACCAAUAUUAAUCAAAUAAAUUAUCAACUAUUAAUGAAAUAUUUAGAAUAGAUAAAUAAUAAUUUUGUAAACAUAUUUAUAUAAAUCAAAUUAAAAACUAACAUAUGUUUAAAAUAUAAAUUGUUCGAAUGUACAUGACAAUGUUUGUAAUUAUUAUAUUUUGACAAAUAUAUAUGUGACAACUCAUAUUUAUUUUUGUAAAAUUAAAAAUUAAUAAUAAAUAUAUUAAAAAUUACAAUAUAAAAAAUCUAAGUUAAAUCCAUUUACUACCAGAUGAGGCACUAAAGGAUAUGAAAGGACUUUACAUGGAUAGAUGGAAACCACCAGUUUUUGGGAAAAUGAAAAUGAACAUAGAUGGAAGCUAUGAGUUAUCAUUCACUAAAUAGUCACAGAAAAGUCUAUAAGGAUCAAAAUUCUACGUAGGUCUUUGGCUUUUCUUCUUGUAAUACAUCGAAAGCAGAAAUUUUGGUCAUUUUGCAUGCAAUUCAUGUAACCAUUUUAGAAUAUAAUAACAUGUCCUUGUAUAGCAAAUUUCACUNNNNNNNNNNNNNNNNNNNNNNNNNNNNNNNNNNNNNNNNNNNNNNNNNNNNNNNNNNNNNNNNNNNNNNNNNNNNNNNNNNNNNNNNNNNNNNNNNNNNNNNNNNNNNNNNNNNNNNNNNNNNNNNNNNNNNUGAAUAUAUCUAGCUAGAGUUGAUUAUUUGUUCCUUUGUCACUGUUUCAUCUGGAAAUAGAAUAGGUUUUGGAGGGAUUUCCAAGUCUUCAAUAUCCCCUUCAAGCAUUUCCACUACUCUAUUCAUUGAGGGUCGAUCAUUUGGUUUUAGUUGUAUACACCAUAAUGCAACUAUGAUCAUCUUCUUUGCUAUUUUAUUUUCCUCUUCUGUCACAUCUUCGAUAUCUACAUCUUCCUCUUCCCUAAUAUGAUCAUAGAUCCAAAGGGGAAAGUAAAGUUGACUUGAGUGGUCUGCAUAAGGAUUUAGAUUCUUCCUCUUACUUGCCAUCUCCAUCAACAACAUUCCGAAGCUAUAAACAUCAACCUUAUGAGAUAUUCCUCCAAUAUUAUUAUAAAACAAUUCUGGAGCCAUAUAUCCAAUGGUUCCUCUUGCUGCAGUCAUUGUGACAAUACUAUUAUCUAUCGGAUAUAACUUUGCCAAUCCAAAGUCAGAAACCUUAGGGAUGAAGUUUUCAUCUAGUAAGAUAUUAUGGGGUUUGAUGUCAAAAUGCAAAAUUUGCAUCUCACACCCAUGGUGGAGAUAAGCAAUCCCACGAGCCACUCCGAUUGAUAUAUUAUAUAUCUUUUCAUAGCUUAAAUGUAUAUUUAUCUCUUUUGAGAAAAUAAAUUUAUCAAGAGAUCCAUUGGGCAUGAAUUCAUAGACAAGAGCACGUUUUGAGCCACUAGCACAAAAUCCAAUUAACUGUACCACAUUUUGAUGAUGUAUUCUUCCAAUGGUUGCAACUUCACAUAUAAAAUCUUGUCCAUUUGCUUUGGAUUUGUCUAACAUUUUGAUGGCAACAAAAGGCCCACUGCGCAACUUUGCCUUAAAGACAGAGCCAAAUCCUCCUUCACCUAACUUCUCUUUGAAACCUGCAGCCAUCUUCUUGAUAUCCUUGUAUGAAUAUCUAAUAGGUGCCAAACUAUUUUGUUCAAGGUAAUUUUCAAUAUUUUUAUACAUCGACAUAUGUCUAUUUCUCCAUUUACAUAUAAAAAUAAAAAUUAAGAAUGGCAAUCCAAACAAAACUUUGUAAGCCCAUACCAUUAAAAUAGGUUCGAGAAUAUCUGCAAGAAAUUUUUACUUUGAGUGAUUACACUUAUACUAUAAAAUGCAACAAGAUAUUUGUUAAAGUAAAUGUGGAGUACAUAAUUAAAACAGAGGUAAAUUAAGAUGAUAAAAUAUCAAUUUCAGAAUAUAAUAAAGACUGAGAUAAUAAAGGUUGUGUUGGAUUAGUAUAAAUCACGGGGAAGAUGAUAAUGCGACUGUAAGAAGAAAUGGACUAAUGGUUGUCCAAAUUAAAAACUAAAUUUAUUAUAAUUUUGUUUCAUGUGGAUUGUGUAUAGUUUAUGGUGUAAUGAUGAAAUAGAGACAACAAAACACCGGUUUUGUAAAAUGUAAAAUUAUUAGUAAGGAUAAAUGGAUAGGAGUUGAUUAAGUUUCACUAUUAAUAGUUUUACUCAGUUGACUUAGAGUUGUGGAUUAGAUGACAUGCAUACAACAGGCUCGUUUAAAUUGUGCAUUAUGAAAAAUUUGCAAAAAAAAAAAAAUGUUUAAAUAGUAUGACAACUAAUUUUGGUAUGUAAAUGGAACAUGUUGGCAAAUGGAGGCUGAUUACUCCCUGAUAUUUUGUAUAAACGAGUUGAGUUGGAUCAUCUUUCUAAUGUUUUAUUUAAGUUUAUUAAUUCUUUGUUAAUAAAGAAAAGCAUAGGUAAAUUAAGAUGCAAAAGUUCUUACCUGUUACAUCCAUUAAUAGUUCUUCCAGUAUUCCUGUAUCACCCGAAAACGAAGGAAAAUAUCAAUUUCAGAACUGUUAAUCUCAACAACUAUACCAACUAAAUGCAUGACUUUUUCUACAAGCAGCUUAUGUGCAUGAGUUCUAACUAAUAAUACAGGUAAAAUAUACAAAGUAAUGAAUUAAUACUCAUCUAAAAAUUGAUAGAAUACAGAAGGGUGAAUCNNNNNNNNNNNNNNNNNNNNNNNNNNNNNNNNNNNNNNNNNNNNNNNNNNNNNNNNNNNNNNNNNNNNNNNNNNNNNNNNNNNNNNNNNNNNNNNNNNNNAUAUAUAUGUUUGACAUUUGGUUUAGGAUCACUCACCAUACCCGCAAUUAAGCUUCUGGUUAGAAGAGUCGAAAUAGCAAUCUCUAUAGGAAAGUGAACAAUGUUUCUGACAGGGUAGUUUUAUCCAUGAAAUCUCGAAUCCAUAGGCGAGUGCGGUGUGCAUGGAAGAGUAGGAAUGGUUAUCGAAAGUGGAGAGAGAAGUGGGAGCAACAAGCUUUACCUCACACCCAACUUCUAAGUCCUCUGCUUUUAGGUCUCCACCAAUUGCAUAUGAAUACCCCUUCCCCUCCCACUUCACCCACUCUCCACUCUCCACAUACUUCCCUUUCUCUCCCACCGAAUCGUUACAAUUCACCAACACUAUAUGCGAGAAACUCAGAGAUUCCCAAUUUACAGAGGCUCUUAGACCAGCUUGGUAUGGAUCCGUGUAGUAAGCGUAAGUGUCAGAGAAAUUGGAGCGAGAGAGGAAACGGAGAGGAAGGGAGGAGAGAUUAUGGUGUUGAAGAGCAGGAUCAACCACUCUCACUGUGUAGUUCUUGUAGUUUAUUGACUGCACAUGAUAUUUUGCAGAGUACAGAUACAACACCGUAACAUUAUUCUCACAACCAAGCUCAUACCUUUUCUCACCACACUUUUCUGGGUCGCCUUUUAAUCGAAAAGGGUGAUUGAUGUUGGUGAUUUUACCACAGGAAGAAGGGGGGCAGCCACCAUGGAUUUUAUGGACUAGAAGUAGCAAUAUCACCAUGAAUGCUCUGUUUCGCCACAUCAUGUUCAAAUUAUCAUGUGCAAACAAAUCAAAGUCGGAUAUUGAUAUUUAAAACAGCACAGACUAUCUUUAUGACUAUUAAGGACCACAUGUUUCCUUUUAGAAAAGUGUUUGAGGACUUAUGAUACUUAAAACGUAGACUUUGACUGCGAAACCGCGUUUCUGUUUCCGCAACUCAUUUUAAUCAAUGCAAAAUUUUAAAUAUUCGUAAAGUGCAUCAAUUCUGAUUUAGAUAUUUAAUCAUGUAAUUUUGUUAAUGAUGUUCUUUUGAAUUUCUAACACCUUCCUAAAUUGUUCUUUUUGGAAGCUUAUAUAAAUAUGGUGUUGAAAAAUAAUUUUAAUGAUUUUAUAAUUUUUAUUUUAAAAUAUAUUCAUUGUCUAGUGGUAGUGUAAUACAGUCCAGUGGUUUUGUUCGGACAGUCUAAGAGGUCAUUAUACUGUCUAGCAUUCUCUAGUAGUAGUGUAACACCGUCUAGUGGUUUUGGCCGGACAGUCAAAGAGGUCUUAUAGACCGUCUAACGGUUCUAGUGAGAUCGUCUAGCUCGUCUAGCUAGUUUAGUAACAAGACUAUCUAGCGGGUUUGUUUUGUCUUUUUAUUCUAUUUAUAUGUUUAUAUGUUGUAAUCUUGAGAGUGUGUGUAUCUCAUGCUCUAUUUUUCAAAAAUUCUGGUUUUCUUCUUUUGUUUCUUGCUUUUACGAGUUGCGUUAUCAUUUCAUUAAUUUGUGUUACUAUGCAUUGAUAAGUGUCUAAUUUCAGUAAUAUUUCAUAUUAAAAUAUAGACACUUAUGAGGAUUUUUUUCUAAUUUACAUAAAAAAUAAUUCCUUAUUUAUAAAUUUAUACUUUUUUACAUUUUUGUAUGAUCUUUAUUUAAAUAAGAGCAUUUUAUUCCCAAAUUUGGUGUUAAUUGCAGGUUUCUAGGGAGGAUUGAAGAUUUGCAGUAAAGGAUAAUGAUUUGAGCUAAAAAGAGAAAGCUGGAAGUUCUCAGAAUAGAGAAAAGCGCCGAAAAACCCAAUGUCGCCAAAGGAGUAUCUCACUCAAGCGAGAUAUUCUCGUUGAAGUGAGAAUGCGUCAGACAGAAUGGGCUUUUUUUUAUGUUUUAUCACUUAGCCCAUCAACGCGACACAGGAAGCGACCUAACCCUUGAAAGUUAGGUUAAAUAGGGGGCUAGAGGCUCAACCCUAGUGUGUCAGAUUGAGAGGAAAACACCAUAGAGUGAAUUGUAACCCAUUUGAGAUAAUGGAAGGUGUUAGAAGUAUGUGUGGCUUAUUAUUCUACCCUUUCAAAUUGGGAGUAAUUUGUUCGAACUCUUAUGUAUUGAGAUGAUAUCUAUAUAAUAUAAUAUCCAGUUCUUGAUUGAUUAUUGGUACUCACCUAAAUAACAAUACUUAACAUAUUUGAGUGCUAGAAAUAGACUUGAAAUGUUAAUUGUUAUUAACAUAUGAGUUUGAUUCUAAAUUGUUCUUAUAAAUAUGUGAGGGAUCGAUAUUUAGGGAACAUUCUUAAGAAUUUUAUAUGUGAGGAAUCGAUAUAAAUGACUUUUAUACGGGCAUCAAUUUCAGGCAAAGAACUUAAUAUUAACAUGCUAAUCAAAAUACAUGAGUGAUACAAAUGAAACCCAAUCCCCAUUUUUCCAAUUGAAGCAAUUACUCUUUGAUUUGUUUUCUUGUUAAUUCUUGUCGUUAUAACAAUUUUCAAACCAACUUUUUAUUAUUCUGUUUUAUAUUUAGCGAAUAUUGUACUUGAAUAGUCAAUUAUUCCUUAUGGGAUCGAUAUCCGUCCUUAAGGACAAAUUAUUGCUUUUGACAACGCGGUGCACUUGCCGUAAAAAGUCAUCAUUACGUGUGUAAUGAAUUACCAUUUUUAUUAUGCUAUCAAAGUAGGUUGAAUGACCUAUUUUGCCUCCACUGUUGUUUCUAUUCUUUUUCUUUCUUGCUGAAUAAUUGUUUUCUCUUGUGGACUAUUUUUCUUGUUUUCUUCAUGUAUUUUUCUGAAACAUAAUACAGAUAGCAAGGUUUUGUUCUGGAUCUUUGCAAUAAUCCCUCAAGCUGAUAUUACUUGCAUCUUGGAGAAUAUUUUGGAACUGCGUUUAUCUCUCCUAAACUAAAUGGAGAAAAUCCCUUCGCAUAAAGGGAAAAUUGUGGUAUUAAAGUUGACACCUCUCAUAGUUAAGUUUGAUCUUGUUGGUACUUAUUCCACCAAAACCCUCCAAUCAAAGGUUUGAGCAUUCUGGAGUGCUCAGACAUUCUCAAACAAAUUGAAUAAAGUAUUACUCACAUAGGUAUUUUUUAAUAUAGCAUAUGAUGACUUGUCAUAGUACUUUCCAUCCUCUUCCCCUAAUCAUUGCCAUCUAUCUUGGUUGUCUUUUUGUAAUUGUGAAAAGUUUAAUUCUCCCAAAUUACCAUUCAAACCUCUCUCUUAUCCACUUUUAAGUUUCACUCCUAACAAUUUUGUGACCAACUUUCUAAUUCUCUUACUGUUUUCCUUUACAAUUAGAAAUUGAGAAUACCCUAGGAAACUUUUGUUUAAAGGUCACCUCUCCUAAUCAUCCUUUCAAUAAGUGAUUGAUAGAUGUUAUUUAUUGACUUCCCUUUUCUAAAUGCCCUUUCUGGCAUUAUUGGUAAGUUCUGAUACUAAGCCUUUAAGGCUCGGCUUGAUGCUUAAUUAGUGGGUUGUGUGGCGUUAUAGCUAUAGGUAAGGUUUGAUAUUAAGCCUCUAAAGCUUGGCCUAACAGUACAAGAAAAUCAUGAAAUAGAAACCAAUUUUUAGAGACUAAAAUAAUUAGUUGCAAUAGUAACUAAAUUAGAGACCAUUUUAGAAACUAAAAAGAAAUUUGGUUUCUAAAUUAGUUUCUAUUAUUUUCUAUUAUUGUUAAAUAGUUUCUAAAUUGGUAUCUAAUUAACAACCAAAGUUUUUGCUACCAAAUUUAGAAACUAAAUAAUUGGUAGUUAAAACCUUAGUUGCUAAUUAGAUACCAAUUUAGAAACUAUUUAACAAUAAUAGAAAAUAAUAGAAACUAAUUUAGAAACCAAUUUUAUUUUUUUAGUUUCUAAAAUGGUCUCUAUUUUAGUUCCCAUUGUAACUAAUUAUUUUAGUCUCUUAAAAUUGGUUUCUAUUUCAUGAUUUUCUUGUAGUGUAAGGUUUGGUCGGUGGCAUUAUAGGUAGGUUAUGAUCUAUAUAACGAUAAUUUGGACUGAAAGAGAGCCAAUCCCAGAAAAAUUCCUAUGAUUAUAUAUUUAAUAGAUGAAUAUCGUUUAUGUCUCCUAAACAUUUAAGACACUUUUAAGACAAGAAUAAAAUGUUAUAAAGGUAAUUUUGGCCUUUAAUAAUGAAUAAAGACUUAAAGUAGGACCAAAUACAAGAAAAUGAGAGGAUUAAUAGAGCAUCAAAAGGAUAUACAAGGUCAGAAAAAGGCAAAACAAAAACUAGGGUUGAAUUGUUUUCACAAGAUUUUCGCAAUACUGGAGUCAGAUUGAAAUCUUAAUCAAAUCAACUAACUAAUUUAUCUGUUCAACUAAUUAUAAAAAGCACAACAAGUAUAUAUUCAAAAAUUAAAAACCAGUUGUUACGAGAAUUCAACCAAUUGAUUUAAAUGCAAAACACCGAAAAGCAAUUGAUAAAACAAAUAUCAGAGUAAGAGAUAGAGAGAUUACACAUGAGAUUUAUACUAGUUCACUCCUACACCAAAAGCUACAUCUAGUCCUCAUCAAACCAUUGAGAAUUCACUAAAGCAAACAUACAAGAUUUACAACACACAACACUCUUAACCACACACAAAAUUCACACUAGUGCAAAUAACACUUUUUACAACAUUAAGUCAGUUAAAUGAGAACCGAUGUAAACAAAAAUGUGGUGACAUUUUUGUAAAUAUUUGACACAUAUUACACCAGUGAAGCUAUCCAACCGGUGUAAUAUGUCCUACUUAGAGAAAAAAAAGUAUUUUUAGAUUUUUUAUCUUUGGGAUUACAUAUAAUACCGGUUUAAUAGAGGAAUUGGUGUUAUAUAUCAUUUUCAGAUUAAAAAAACUUGUUUUCAAACAAAAUUAAGAAUGAUUGCAGCGGUAUUAAUAACUAAACUUGAUAAAUGAUAAAAAGUUGAUAUAUAAUCCAUACGACGACUCUGUAUGGGGCAAUACGUAACUGGAAAACAUAUAUAUGGAUCAUUGCAUCAAUUUAGAAAAUUUAGGCUAGAGAACCUCAUAAAAGUUACCCUAUAUCAAGACAUGAUUUCAUGAAUUAUAUUUAAAAAAAAUAGAGAUUUUAUACAGAUACAAACAUCAAUCAAAAUGUGAGAAAACAGCUUUAUGAUAUUUAUUUGUAAUCCAUCUACUAUUUAGUUUUUGAAAAUUACCUCAUUUCUAUGAGACCAAAUUGUCCACAAAGUAGCAAUUCAUAUGGUUCUACAUAUUUGGUUAUGUUUCCUUGUUAGCCUACAUGUUCAUAGGUAAUGUAUUUUAGCAUUUUUGUGGUGUACAAAGGUAAGUCUAAGCGCACACAUAUCCCAAAUUUGUUUUGCUACCCGACAAUUAAAGAAUAAAUUAUUUAUAGAUUCGUCUAAAUUGACACACAAAAUGCAUGAAAGAUUUGUGAUUGGGAUGAGUCUCUUACAAAGAUUAUAAAGAGUGGCAACUUUAUUUUGGAGUAACCUCCAAACGAAUAACAUAACUGAUGGUAAAGCCUUGAAGCUCCAUAAACUUAGAAACACGUUGUCAUCCUUGCCUGCUUCUAAUCGCUCUAAACCACAUAAUUUUGCUCCUCUUAUUAAUUGUAAUAUCACGGACAAAACAUUGUGGCACUAUAGACUGGGGCACCCUUCACAUGAAAGAUUACAUGUCUUACGCAAACAAUACCCUUUUAUUACUAUUGAUACUCAUCAUGUAUGUGACACUUGUAAUCGUGCAAAACAGAAAAAAAACUUCCUUUCACUUUAAGUACUACUGCUACCUCUUCUAUUUUUGAUCUUGUACACUUUGAUAUUUGGGGACCCUGUUCCAUAACUUCUAUGCAAGGUUUUCGUUAUUUCUUAACUAUUGUUGAUUAUUACUCGCGCUAUACUUGGGUUAUUUUGUUGCAUAAUAAAUCUGAAGUGCGUCCGCACAUCAUUAACUUCACUCUUUUUGUUCAAAAUCAUUUUCAAACUAAUAUCAAAACGAUUCGUACUGACAAUGGUGUUGAGUUUGCUAUGUCAAGUUUUUAUGCUUCAAAGGGAAUUAUACAUCAAACAUCUUGUGUUGAAACACCACAACAAAAUGGCAUUGUGGAACGUAAACAUCAACACAUACUAAAUGUAACCAGGGCCUUACUUUUUCAAGCAAAUCUUCCUCCCAUCUUUUGGGAAUUUGCUGUAAAUCAUGUUGUUUUCUUAAUAAAUUAUAUUCCUACUCCAUUACUUAAUAACAUCACUCCUCAUGAACAAUUGUUUGGAAAACCGUAUGACAUUUCUUUUUUAAAAGUGUUUGGUUGCCUAUGCUAUGCUAGUACCAUUACUGCACAUAGGAAGAAAUUAGAUGAUAGAUCUAUCAAAGGUAUUUUUCUUGGUUUCCCGCAAAAUACAAAAGGUUAUAUUGUCUUAAAUUUAAAGUUUUAUCGCAUAGAGAUAUCAAGACAUGUAAUCUUUCAUGAAACUCAUUUUCCAUAUAAAUUGGAUAGUGGCUUGCCUAGGGACUCCAACACUUUAUCUCUCCCUAUUUCUAACGCAUAUAAUUCUGCUCUUGAUUUUUUUCUGAUACUGCACCUCCUUCCGAGCCGUGUGCCUCUACUCCUGCACCUUCUGUCGAGCUGUGUGCCUCUACUCUUGCACCUUCUGCCGAGCCGUGUGCCUCUACUCCUGCACCUUCUGCCGAGCCGUGUGCCUUAUUAUCCUCUGAUCUUCCGGAAAAUAAUGUCUCUGCUCCUGCAUCCAACACUGCACCUCCACCAACAUCAUCACCUCCUGCACCUCCAGGAAGCACCUCACCCCAAUUUCCAAGAAGAUCAACUCGUCCUCACCGACAACCUGCCUAUCUUGCCGAUUUCCACACAGCAACCAACACUAUAAGUAGUAGAUAUCCUAUUCAUAAUUACUCUUCUAAUUUUAGAAAUAUUAUUUCCUCUAUCAAUUCUCAUCCUGAACCUCGCACCUAUACUGAAGCCUCCAAACAUGCUUCUUGGCAAUCUGCCAUGCAAGCUGAGCUUCAAGCUCUUGCUGCCAACAAUACUUGGCAACUUACCCCUCUCCCUCCAGGAAAGAAAACUAUUGGUUGUAAAUGGGUAUAUAAAAUUAAAUAUCAUUCUGAUGGCACUGUUGAGCGCCACAAAGCUAGAGUUGUUGCCAAAGGGUUCACCCAACUUGAAGGACUUGAUUUCUUAGACACUUUUGCACCUGUUGCUAAACUCACUACCGUCCGCCUUCUCCUUGUUGUUGCCACUACCAAAAAUUGGGUUUUAAAACAACUUGAUGUCAAUAAUGCCUUUCUUCACAGUGAUCUCUAUGAAGAGGUAUACAUGACCCCCCCACCUGGUCUCUCUCUUCCUUCUCCCCAGCACGUCUGCAAGCUUCAACGGUCUUUGUAUGGUCUUCGUCAAGCUGGUCGUCAAUGGUACGCAAAACUUUCUACUUUUCUUUUAUCAAAUAAUUACUCUAUCUCUGUUACUGACCACUCUCUUUUUCUUAAAUAUAAUAAUGAUAAACUCACUCUUUUUCUUAAAUAUAAUAAUGAUAAACUCACUGUUAUUCUUGUUUAUGUUGAUGACUUGGUCUUGACUGGUGAUGACACGGAGGAAAUCAAUACAAUUACUGCAUCCCUUCACCAUCACUUCAAGAUCAAAAAUUUAGGUAAUCUCACUUACUUUUUGGGACUGGAAAUUGCUCGCAACAGUACUGGUCUUCAUUUAAGUCAACGCAAGUAUACUCUUGAUCUCCUUCAAGAAACUGGCAUGCUUGACUCUGCACCUGUGGCCACUCCUAUGACUCACACCUCCCGUCUCUCUCCGACCAAGACUCACAAAUCUGCCCUUCAAAUAGCUUCCAAUCAAGUUUUUCAUGAACAAACCAAGCACAUCGAAAUUGAUUGUCACCUAGUUCGUGAAAAACUUAACUCUGGUCUCCUCAAAUUGCUACCCAUUACUUCUGCAAUGCAAGUUGCUGACAUAUUCACCAAGUCCCUUGCUUCCGCACAGUUCUCUACUCUCAAAUCCAAGCUGGGCCUGACAAAUAUCUACUCCCCAGCUUGAGGGGGUGUCAACAUAUUUAAUUUUCCAUUUUAAAUUAUUGGGCUUUGUUUGUUUGGCUCAACCUUCCUUUUCUGUUUCCGCUAGGUCUUAAUCUUUCUCUUAUAUAUACACCAUGUAUUUUACUCUAUAAUAUAUAAGUGAAUAAAAUAAAAGUUUAUUUUAUAUUUAGUUUUCUCUACAAUUAGGGUUUAUCAAAACCUUUUGUCUCCGUUACGACUACGUUCGUUACAUUAAAGCAUCACAUCAGGGCAAGGAAUAUUCAUCUUCAUUUACUGUAAUAAUAACCAAAAUAAAUUAAUACAAUAAAUUAUUAAGUAAAGAUAAAAUGGAAAAAAAAAUAAGAGCAGUUAAGAGGAGAAUAAGAAAUGACACAAUGACCAUAAUACAAUAAUAAAAUUAAAUAUUAAUAUAAGGAUAAAAUAGAAAAAAAAAUUAAGAGUAGUUAAGAGAGGAAUCCCCUUUAUAUAUAGGUAUAAAUAUUACAAAUAAGUAAGAUAACCGUUAUAUCACUGUCAAUAUAAAAAUAAUUAAAACUUAUGGAAUUGAAAGAUAUAAACAUUUUUUAAUACCAUUAAAACAGAAUUUUUUAAUAGAGAUUCAAUUUGAAAAUACCUAAAUUAAUGAGGAGUUUAAAACUUAAUUAAAUCUAGAUUUUAAUUUCACAAGUAUUUUUUUAUAAAUUUAAAAUAUAUACACGUAAGUUUAAUUUUCAUUUAUUUUAUAAAUAAUUAUUUUCUUUUUAUCAUUAAUUUAAUUAAUAUAAAUGUGUGGAUACAUUUAACGUACCAUUAUAAACUCUUCAAUAUAAAAAACAAAGUUGUUGUGACAAAGAAUUUAGAGUAUCUAUUUUCUUGAAAAAAUCAUUUAAUGUAAAAUAUUUGGAUUAAAGCUUACUAAAUAUUACUCUUUUGGUCAUGGAAAAGUUAUGCAAUCCAACACAUGUAAAAUAGAAAAGACAAGUAUUGUCUACACAAAAAUUGUAGAAUGUCACCAUGCAUAUUCAGGUAGAAUAAGUUCAUGAUUCCGCAUUUGCAAACAUUGAAACAAAAUAAUAAAUUUAGUAACCCAUUUGUUCUAACUUUAUAGAUGUAAAAUAUUUAAUAGAGAAAAACAAGUGAAAAAUAUUAUAGAUGUUUUUCUACGUAAAAUGACAAACAAGGUGAAUAUAAAACAAAAUUUUAUUAUAUAUACAUCACUAAAUAGUAUGCUUCACUAAAGGAUCAAUUGCAUGUAUACUUAUACUUUACAUGAAAUAAUUAGGAGAACAUGUUCAAUUCAUUCGAUGUCGAGUUUGUUGUUUCAACAUCUGUACUCAUUUCAUCUAGAAAUAAAGUAGGUUUUGGAGGUAUUUCCAAGUCUUCAAUGUCUCCUUCAAGCAUUUCCACUACUCUAUUCAUUGAGGGUCGAUUGCUUGGUUUCAACUGUAUGCACCAAAGAGACACUAUGAUCAUUUUCUUUGCUAUUAUCUUUUCCUCUUCAGUCAAAUCUUCCAUAUCUAUAUCUUCCUCUUCUUCGAUAUGAUCAUAGAUCCAAAUUGGAAAGUAAAGUUGACUUGAGUGGUCUACAUGGGGAUUUAGAUUCUUCCUCCUGCUCGCCAUCUCCAUCAAAAGCAUUCCAAAGCUAUAAACAUCAGCUUUAUGGGAUAUUCCUCCAAUAUUUUUGUAAAAUAGUUCUGGAGCCAUAUAUCCAAUGGUUCCUCUUGCUCCAGUCAUUGUGACAAUACUAUUAUCUAUUGGAUUUAACUUUGCCAAUCCAAAGUCCGAAAUCAUAGGGAUGAAGUUUUCAUCUAGCAAGAUGUUAUGAGGUUUGAUGUCAAAAUGCAAAAUCUGCAUCUCACACCCAUGGUGGAGAUAAGCAAUCCCACGAGCCACUCCAAUUGAUAUAUUAUAUAUCUUUUCAUAGCUUAAAUGUAUAUUUCUCUCUUUUGAGAAAAUAAAUUUAUCAAGAGAUCCAUUGGACAUAAAUUCAUAAACAAGAGCACGCUUUGAGCCACUAACACAAAAUCCAAUUAACCGUACCACAUUUUGAUGAUGUAUUCUUCCAAUGGUUGCAACUUCAUUGAUAAAAUCUUGUCCAUUUCCUUUGGAUUUGCCUAACAUUUUGAUGGCCACAAAAGGUCCACUAAGUAACUUUGCCUUAAAGACAGAGCCAAAUCCUCCUUCACCUAACUUCUCUUUGAAACCUGCCGCCAUCUUCUUAAUUUCCUUGUAUGAGUAUCUAAUAGGUGCCAAGCUAUUUUGUUCAAGAUAAUUUUCAAUAUUUUCAUACAGUGACAUAUGUCUUUUUCUCCAUUUAUAUAUAAAAAUAACAAUUAUGAAUGGC
rnacentral:lncRNA from 1 species